rnacentral:lncRNA from 1 species
UACUUAAUUUUCCUUCAGAGAAAAUCUUCAUAUCGGGGCAAUCAUCCACCACUAAUCUUUCUAAAGAUGGGAACUUGAAAGCACAAUUGCCAGAGCAGAAGCUUGUCAGGCGUUCUAAGUCUACAAGCUUCAACUCCUUCAAUUCUCUGAAAGUAAUAACCUCAUCUUUUGCUACAACAUCAUCCCCCUGUACUAUUUCUGUUAUCCUAUCGCAUGAUUUUAUCUUCAUAUAUCUAAGUCGCACCAGAGUCUUUGCAAUUAAGGAUGUUAAUACGAUUUUCAAGUUGUUGCAACGCGAUACCACCAUAUUUGUAAGAUUCUGAAAGGAUGUCGACGGUGGCACUAGAUUGACUAAAUGGUCACACCCCUUUACACGUAGAAUAACCAAGUUGUUCGUAACAGAGGACUCCCUUAUCAAAAUGUGCUCCAGAUGAAAUGCUUCUCUUAUUUCUACCCACAUCCCAUUUUCAACCUUCUCAUACGGCAACGAGGCACUAUAUCCUCCUAUUUGGAGGACUUUCAUUGUGUGAAGUCUCUGGAGGAAGUCACCAAGUGAUAAAAUCGUCCGCUCAUCACCCAAGUGAUAUUUAUUUGUCACUACGUGCUUUGCAUCAACUUUCAACUUUUCCAAAUUAGGGAAUACCUGGGAGAUCGAUCACAACCCCAAAAAAAAGAAAAAAAAGAAAUACAAGAUGAAUCAAUUGAUAAGAAAUAUAAGUUACCACUAAUUUAUACAAUAUAUUUUAUUCAAUAAAUCUUAACCUUUAAAAAAAAUAGUAAUAAUAGUAUGCCUAACAUCUAGAAUAAUUAUGAAUGAAUACUAUACACUAAUCCGUAAGAGAGUUACGUUGCUGACAAUUUGAGUUUUAGUAAGAAACCAAGCGAUGAAGGCAAAGGCAAUAUAACUCUAAACUCUAUGAUAUAAACUCUCACAGUGCAUACAUAAGAAUUGAAAAAUUGAUUAUAAAAUUCUUGUACCUACCCUUUCCGUGAAGAUACUAGUAGUUCUCACCAUGAAUUCAGGACAUUUAGAUAUCCGUAAUUCUUUCAAGGAUGGAAAUUCAAGAAUAUCAAGAUCUCCAGUGCAGAAGCUUGUGAACUUUUCAAGAUCAGACAUCUUCAGAUAUUGCAACUGAGGAAACAUUACAAUAUUUUUCUUCCUUUCUUCUUGGUUGUCCAUAACUAUUAACUCUUCCAAGACAGGACAUCCGACUAUCUCAAUGCAUUGGAGUUGAACAAAGCUACUAACGGUAGAAGAUGAAAAUAGACAUCUUAAAUUCAUACAGCAGGACAGGGUCAAGCGCGUUAAAUUCUGAAUACCACAAGACAUGACUGCAACUUGGUUUUGCCAAAUCCUUUCAACAUUUAUUGAAAGCAAAUGCAACUUCUCUAACUCUGGUAACCGAACCUGCUCGAUCAAAAAAUUAACUCGUUAAUUACAAGCAACAAUGAUUUCUGUUGAUGGACAAAUCAAUAAAAUUACUCUUUCUCUGGUUAUAGUUCUUUUCAGUUUUUCAUACAAACAACCGUUAAUCAAGUUUUCCAAAUUAUUCCUUACUAAAUGUAUAGAUUUAGACGGCGGCUAAUAUAAUUCAUAUUGCAAAUAUUCUUUGAUUGUAACGAAUUUUGUAAUAUUAAAUUUUGGUUGAUUCGCAAUAGGACCUACUAUCCAGCGGGAGCAGUUCCUUGGGAUUUAACUACUGGCACCUCGAUUAUAUAAAAAUUUGGAAUAUUUUCAAAGGAAAUCACAUAAUUUCCCCUUGCAAAUAGUAAUUAUCAUUAAUUGCCACGGGUUGACAUAUAAUUCUAAGAAAUUAGGCGAGAAGAGUCUCAUCAACAAUCAAUCAGCAGAUAUCACGUUUGGCAGAUCAUCAUGAUUUCCUCAUAUGCUAGAGAAUCAACGUGAUUUCCGCUCAUGCAGGAGCAGGAGUGGACACAUUAUCUUAGAGCAUCCCUCACUGAGAUCUUUUAAAAAAUUUAUAUUAUAAAGUGAACAACAUAUUAAGUAUAGAUUUAGACGGCGGCUAAUAUAAUUUAUAUGUAUUCUAAUGACGUAUAUUAAAGAAAAUGACUAACCAUAAUUUCAAUCAACUUAUUAGUCUAUAUAUAUAUAUAUAAUAUAUAAUAUAUUCAGUGAUUACAACAUAUUUAGUAUUCCAUAACAUGAAGUUUAUAAUAAUAAUUAUUAUUAAUUCACUUAUUGUGUCAAGAACAUUUUCUUUCUCUAAGAAUGAAUUUGUUACACCCUACUAUACUACGGAUGAAAAAUUUAGAAUCAUUGUGAAAUAUAAUUAUUAAUCACUCUUUGCCAUAUUUGCGACCAAAGAAGAAUAUAACAAAGAAAAGAAACAAAAAUUAUAGAGAAUUAAUGAGACCAUUGACGUAUUAAUAACUGACCUUCCCAGUGAAAAGCGUAUUAGAAAUUUGGAUAUUGUCCUCCAAAAUGAUUUCAUGUGACUGCAAAUCAUUAGCUGAUUCCUGUUGUCUCUGUUGACAUUGAGUGUAAACUUAAUUGUGAGCACAAUCUUAAUGCAUAGAUACAAGAUCUCUAAAAAUUAGUAUAAUAAACUUAGCACAAAAUCUAAAUUUGAUAUUUCGGAUUCCAUGAUUAAGAUUUUUUAAAUAAAAAUUUAAUAUAGUUAAUUUAAAAAUAAAAAUUAAAUAUGAAAAAUUAGAUUUGCAAUUAUGGAUUUAAUUUUGAUAAAUAAUGAAUGUUCUCUUUAUAUUUUUUUUUAAAGGUAAAACAGCGUACAAAGCCCAAAUUCAUUUUUUUAGUCCCUUACUCUCCCAUGAUUCAAACUUGGGUGGUUGUAGGGGGACUGAAAAUAUGUAAGACAGUUAACUUCACUUUUUUUUUUUUUUGAGAGAGAAAAGAGAAGAAGGAUAUUACAAAGCACGAAGCUCGUGCAAUAUAAGGGCAAUUAUGGUUUUUUCUUUAAAUUAAAAUGGUAAGAUUCUGAAGCUAAAAGAUUAAAAUAUUAAUUAAAUUGCAAACAUUAAAGAUUUUUUUUCCAAAAUUGGUUGCUUUGAAAAUGAGAAUAAUAUAAUGUUUGAAGACUUUUCAAAAUUAAUUACUGUGAUGCACUAGAAAUUUCUAGCUUUAGUCUAAUGUAUAAAUUGACAAAACGAUAUUAGAAUCCCAGGUGAAAAGAACCCUCUCAUACCAAUUAUUUAAAUUAGGAAUGAUCAUACCUCUGACUCUGCCGAACUGAGGGCGGGGUCUAAACCCCUCAUACGGAGACGCUUGAGAUGGGAAGAGCCCACUUUGACUAAUUCAUUACGAAUAUAAUCGACAUCUUGCUCUUGCAAUCCACGUAAUUCAAGGUCUUCAAUUCUCUGCAGUUGCACGAUCAGCGAAUCCUUCAAGCAAAUCUUGUCAUUGAGGUCGAGACUGAAUUCACGACACCAACUGCCGUUGCUCUCCUCAUCAUCUCCAAUGCGUAUGCUGUACCUUUCCAGCUUCUCCAAGAGCAGGCCUCUGGGCAGAGUGCUGACGUCAUAGACGUGUAAUUCCAAAGAGGUCAAGUUGGGCAAAUGCUUCAACUCCUCAAGGCUUGCAUUCUUAACCCCUCCCACCUCCAUCUCCCAGUAACGAAAGCUUUGAUCUAUAUAUAGUUCUUCUAAAUGUGAUAAUUUUGACAGUAUAUUUGGUGGAAUAACUUCUAGAUAGCAACAAUCCCUCAAAUCAAGCAACUUUAGCCAAGUCAAUUCACCUACUUCUACCGGCAACUUCUUAAUAUAAGAACCUCUUAAGCAAAGGAUUUCUAGUUUCUUCAAGCCUCCUACAACACUUAUAUCGGGCAAGAUGAAGCCGCACAAACUCAGUGUUCGAAGGUUUGACAGGAGACCAAGUGAUGAAGGCAGUGACCGUAGAAACAUGCCAGUCAAGUUGACAACUCUGACCUGCAUCAUCCUCUCGAAAAAGUUGUUUGGAAUUGUUAAUGAUGAAAAUUCCCAACGAUCAGCACGUAUAAAAAGAAGUUCGAGCUGAGGACAUUCCAGUACUUCAGGAAGCAAAUUAUUCUUGAUACCAUGUAAGACGAUUGAAGUGCAAUGCUUUAUUGCACUUCCAUCUGACCAUUCCCUGCAACCAUCAACCUGCUCAUUUGUAGCAGUAAACACAUUUCGUUCAGUAGAUGCAAUUGAUACGGCGACAUCGCGAACUACAUCAUGCAUAGAAAACAACUCUUUCUUCUGGCUUAUAUGGUCAAGCAACAUACAAGAAGCUUUGAGUGUGCGCACCAAUGUAUGUACUCGAUUUCGUGCUACUUCAAUCUUAUUCACACCUUGAAAUAAACCCAAUCCCAUACCACACAUUAACAAGUCAUCAAUAGAUGCUAUGGCUGUAUAUCCUAUUAGCAAAAAGAUGUUCUUGAGAUCAUCCCUUCCUAGUUUAUUGUAGCUCAACUCGAUAGCUUUAAAUGCGGCUGGCUGUACAUCCUUAAAAUUCGAUGAAGAAGGCCUUCUUAGCUGUUCCAAUGCAUCCUUCCAUUCACGUAUGCUCUUGCUCCUUAAUGCCCUUGCAACCGUCACAAUGGAAACUGGUAGACCUGCACAUUCCUUUGCCACAUCCCUUGCUACCUCUUUCAAUUCAUUAUCUUCAACAUAAUCACCUGCCAUCUUCGUGAAUAGACUCCAAGCUUCAUCUUCUUUUAAAAAUCCAACUGGGAAAUUUUUUCGAGACUCCAUCUCUCCAGACAAUACUUCUUCACUCCUUGCCGUGAACAGCACUUUACAUCCCAUGUGAUCAUCUCCGUGAGGAAUUCCGACAUCCAACAAAUCAAGAUUUUCCCAAAUAUUAUCCAAGAUUACAAGGAUCCUCUUCUCUUUCUUCAGUCGAUCAUAGAGUCUUCUUGCCCUACCCGAUUCACUCUCCUCAUCAAAUUUUAGACCUAGUUUAUCCGCGAUUUCUCCUUGAAGCUUUCUUACGUCUCGACUCUCAGACACCUCAGAAAAAACCACCUGAUCGAAAAGCUUGUCACUCUCUGCUUUUCUAGCAACUUCUUUAGCUAGCGUCGUCUUUCCGAUUCCGCCCAUUCCAUAAAUCAAAAGCAUGUUGACAUUGGGAUUUUUUAAUGCAUCAAUUAUUUCAUUCAGAAUGGACGUUCUUGAUUCAAAGGCCUCGAAGUCUUUGUUAGGCAUAAGCAAGGUAUCCUCCGGAAUGAUGCUGUAGGAAAUACUAUUAACUGGUCUAGCGUCCAGGACUUUGACAACAGCCUCCUUCUGCCUCUCUGCUUCCUUGCUAAGUCGAGGGCGGGUCUUCAAAUUAGGACAUAACCCCUUGAAACAACGCUUAUUUGCAGUGGCUUCAUCUUCUGUAAAUUUAUCUGCCUCUUCAAUGACACUGUUGGCCGUUGCAAGCCAAUUCUCAACGUUCUCUUCAAUCUCUUCUCCUUUUCUUUUAGCCUCAUCAACCUGGUGCUCUGUAUUCACCCUCUCAGACUUUAGUUUCACAACUUCAGUGUUGAGAUUCUGUAAGUUGCUCGUGUACUUACUCUCACGCAAAUAGCUAAUUUGGCGAUAUGCGUGAGGAGCCAAGCACUUUGCAACUUCUAAAGCAAUAGUAAGAAUGAUUUCAGCCAUCUUCAGUCCUUUGUCCUUGUCUCUCUAUCUCUCUUUUUCUGAAUUUUGGAAAAACAAUUCAACAAGUGACCACAACAAGAUGGAACAAAAUAAAAAGGAAAAAAAUACAAAGAGUGGAUGGAGAAUAAAACAGAGACAGCGGCACAGCUAGACACAACUAGAUAGAGAACAGAGGAAAACCAAAUAACAAGACUUAAGAUUACAACAAACAGAGGCCAAGUAUUAUUGUUGAGAUCAGAAGAUGGAAAAUUCCAAAGAGUUGAUGGCAGAUGCUGAAUAACAGAACAACAAUGAACACAAUAAACAGAAGCAAAGUGUGUUUGUGAUCGACAGACGGAAGUAAGGAAAGCGGUUGUUGAUUGAAAAUGAAUGAAUGCAAAGAAAGACUGAUGUUAAAAAUUGAUGUCAAGGAAUAAUUGAACUUUCGCUGAAUUAUUGUUUGUGGCUUCUUUUACUGUUUAUUUGUGGGUCAUGUCUUUUGGAACUAAUCUUGUCCAAAAAAUGUUGUUUAUUUGUGGGUCAUGUUAUUCAGCAUCUGCCAUCAACUCUUUUGUUUAUUUAUUCAAAAAAUAAAUUGUGAUUAUUUGUUAAUGUAUGCGAUUACUUGUGAUGGUAAACAAAGUAGAUAUGGUAUAUUUUGAAGUUAAAUUAAAAAAAAAAAAAACAGAACUUUUACCGUUACUUGCCUUAUCAUCUUUUAAAUUAGAGUUAUUAUUCUUUUAUUUUUCAAGUUGCCAACUCAUCAGUGUAUUCUUUUAUUGAAUUUAAAGAUCAAUGAUUAUAAAUUUUUGUGAAAAUUUUAAGUCAAAACUUUAAAUUAAAAUAAUCUUUAAGUUAUAGGGAAAUAAUAACUUAGUAUAACAAAUAUUAUAUCCUAUACUUUAUUGCUACAAAAUUACGAAACCUUAUAGUUUCAAAAACAAAAAUUACGAAACCUUAUAUUAUAUUAUGUUUCCAUAUUUCUCCUUUAUAGUGAAGACUCAUACUUCUUAUCUAAUAAAUGCUAAAGUAUUGGCUUAAAUUUUUUAACCAGCAUAGUAGACCCUUAAGCUAUAUAUACUAUAAUGUCCCUCUUCUCUCACAGAGUAAACCAAUCUGAUCUCAGAGUGAGUUGAUACCAUGACUUCGCAUCAUUUGUGAUCAAAGGAGUAUCAUUACUAACUAAUAUAGGCUCCAUCAAUAGGCAUGAUAAUAAUUUUUUUUUUUAUCUACAAACGCUGUUUUUCAAAAUAUUAUAUCUUAAGACUUAACUAAAUAUUUUUUAACUAUGUAGAUAUAGUUUGUUUGAUCUCUUUUAAAUAGUGGAGAUUACAAACAAACAUAUGUGAAUUAGUAGUGAUGUUGAGUUCAGAAGCUUGAAGUUAAAAAAAUUAAGGGUUUCUUGAUCUAGAGAAAUUUCAAAUGAGUGAAGCGUCCUCGAAAUCGGAAGACGAAAAUAAGGAAAGGGUAAGGGUGUAUUUUCAAAGUGAUUCUAUUAAGAGAUCUUUGAAGUAGGGGUGGGCAAGUCGGGUUUUGGUUCGGGUUGUUCAAAUUUCGGUUUGGGUUUUAACCCAAUCGGGUUUGAGAAUUAAACUCAAUCGGGUUGAAAACGCCAAUCCAAACUAAACCGAACCAAAUUUAAUUCAGUUCGGGUUCAUAAUUCGGAUCGGACUGGGUUGAUAAUUCAUGUUAAAAUUUCGAUUCGGGUUAAUUUGGGUUAGAAUAAUUCAAUCUAAAAUUUUGGGUUAGUUCGGUUUAAAACGGGUUGGAACUAUUUAAUCCAAAAAUUCUACCAACAACCACUUAAAAUCUAAAAAUCUCAAUUCCAAACAUCCUUAACAACAAAUAUCAACUACAAACCAUCCUUUACAACAUUUCAACAAUAACAAUAGCAAUAAUAACAACAACAACAAUAAUAAUAAUAAUACCAACAACUAUGAAUCAGCAAUUCAACAUAUUGCCAUAUUCUAAAUUUAAAAAAACACACAAAUUAUUUAAUUAAUUAAUUAAUUAACAAUCUCCAAUUUAAUUUAUAAUAACAACAAAAAUCCUCUCCAAUUUAAUUAAUAACAGUCUCCAAUUGUUUAAUUAUCAGUCAACAGCAACAAACCCAAUCUAAUUUAAUCAUAACAAUCUCCAAUUGUUCAAUUAUCAGUUAACAGCAACAAAUCAUCUCCAAUUUGUCACGAACAGCCUCUAAUUGUUUAAUUAUCAGUCAACAACAACAAACACACUCCAAAUAAUUGAACAAUUAUUAAUUAAUUAAUUAAAAAUACCCAAUUUAAUUAAUAACAACACCCAGGAGCAAGUCAGCAAUAAACCCACUACAAAAUCCAAAUAUCAGUGUAAACUAAGUGUCAAACCUUGAUCGGUGGGAAGCUACAGCGUCGGCAAAGCGUGACCGUGUGGGGCUGAGUGAGACCGUCGACCGAGGGUGUGAGAAGGGAGAAGAGGGAGCUGGGAGGUAACAUGGUGUGUGUGAGUUUAUAUAUAUAUAUAAUUUUUAAAAGCCAAAACUUAAAAAAAAAAAAAUUUAACCCAAUCCAAACGCGCACCUCAGAUUACUUCCGUGUUAAGAGAUGAAUCCCACACUCUUGAGCCUUUGUCGUCCUAGUCAACUAUCAAAACAAAUCAUUAUUGAAUGUGAACAGAAUUAUUGAUCACCCAAUUUUCAAACUUGUCAUCCUUAUUGAAUCUGCAUUCCCUUUUAAAAUUUUUUAAAAAAGUACAAAUAAUGAAACAAAGUGUUGUUCCUUCAACAGUUGAUAGAGUUACGCGGCUUCAACUUGCAAGUGCUGUCGGCAUUUUCAAACUUGCAAUACCCUUCAACUUGCUUUCCAAGAUAGCUAUAAUUAAUAAUGACAACAAUCUCCCUUGUAGUGACUAGUGAGCAACUUGUUUCGUGAAAUUAACGGCAUCUUCUCUCACAUUUAAAAAAAAAAAAUUGAAUUAUAAAACCCACCAAAACUAUAAAAGAAUUGUUAGUUUUUCUUCAUUAAAAUUAAUAGAUUGCUCCUCAUAUUGAAAAAUCAAAAUUCAGAAUAAGAAUGAUUGAUACUCUUUAUUUACUAAAAUGAAAAUAAAAUAUAUGAAGCCUACAUAUUUUUGAAAUAAAAAAAAAGAACUUUAUUUUUCAUGAGGAGUGUUGGGAAUCAAGUUCUCAUUAUUUAAACUCUCAAUUGUACCAUUAUUUAAACUCUCAAUUGCACCUCACCGAAAUUUCAUAAUUUCACUUUUGUUCUCAAUUAAAAUAUUAUUAUAGUUAUUAUUCUUAUAAAUGUUGAUGAUGAUGAUACAAGAUAAUAAAAUUAAUGAUAAUUAAACCAAUUUGAAUUCAGAGUGAGUGAGUACCAUUACUUCGCAUUAUUUGAUAUCAAAGGAGCAUCAUAACUAACUAAUAUAGGCUCGAUCGAAUUCAUCAUGCGAAGUAUAUUAUCGGCUGUAGGUAUGGAAAUAAAUUUUGUAUCCACAAACACUAUUUUUCAAAAUAUUUUAAGACUUGACUUAGCAUUUUUUAACCAUAUAUGUAUAGGUUGUUUGACCUAUUUUAAAUAGUGGAGAUUACAACAAAUGAACAGAUGUGGAUUUGUAGAGUUGUUGAGUUCAGAAGAUUGAAGUUAACAAAGGGUUUCUUUAUCUAGAGAAAAUUCGAAAGAGCGAAGUGUCUUCGAGAUCAAAAGACGAAAUAAGGAAAGGGUAAGGUUAUACUUUCAAAAUGAAUCUGUUGAGAGAACUUUAAAGAUUACUUUCGUUAAGAGCUGGAUCCCACACUUGAGUCUUCGUCGUCUCAGUCAGUCAGCUAUAAAGACAAAUUAAUUUUGAGCGUGAAAGGACACAAUUGAUCACCAAAUUUUCAAACUCGUGAUCCUUAUUGAAUCUGUAUUCUCAUUUGAAAAACAAUAAAAGAUUAACAUUAAUUUAACUUCAUCUAGAUUCCCAUUUGAAUCUGCAUUCCCAUCCCGUUGUUCUCUGGGAAUGCACAUAAUCAAAAAAAAUCCUAUCCGCAUUUUCAAACUUGUGACCCUUCAAGCUUUCUAUGACAACUAUAACGAAUAAUUACAACAGUGCUACCUAAUAGUGAGCAACUUGUUUGAUGAAAUUAACAACUUCUUUUCUCUCAUAUAUUUUUAAAAAAUUGAAUUAUCAAAGUUUUUAUUUCAAAAUUAGUGCUAUAGUUCAUUAAUUUUUCAAAUUUUCCUUUUUCUUUCCACACAACAGAUUGAUUUGCCCUCCAAAAAAUGUAUUAUAUUGUUUAAUAUUGUAACUUCAAGAAACUUAUAAUAAAUUUUUAAAGAGAUAAAUAGAGAAUGUCAGUCUCCCAUCUACUCAAAAUUAAUAUAUAUCAUUAACUCUUGAUUAUUUUUAUAACAACUAAUAACUUUCUUGGCAGCAUAAUUUUACAGUAUCAUCCUUGUUUGUAAGUAUAUUUUUAUUCAUAUUUAUUAUAAAUUAAUUAAAUCAUAUCAAUGAAAAUUGAAAUAAAAAUUGAAGUACUAAAAAUUAAAAAAAUAUAUUUUGGUGUGAAUAAAAAAUUGAAAAUAAAAAUAUUUUUCUUAUAUUUUUUGUUAUUUUUAAAUUUUUUCUUAUAAUAAAUGUAUAUUUUAUAUGCUCAACUUUUUCUUUUAAUUUUUGUUAUUAGGAGGAUUUUUAGAUAUAAUGAAAUUUGUAAGGUAGUAAGUAAUAUAUAAUAAUUUUAAUAGAGAAAAGUAAAAAAUCUCUUAUUUUAAAAUAUAAGGAGAAAAAUAAUUAAUUUCAAGACAUUUUAGAAGAUAUUUCAAUACGCGGUGGACCACAAACUCGAGUCUUUGUCAUCUCAGUCAAACUAAAAGGACAGAAUAUUGAGGGCAUGGCUAAGGUGCAGAAGCUGCAAGUAACAGCUUCGAACUUUCCCAUUUCCAUCACCUUGCAUUGGGACCUCUUUCUUUGUCCUCUAGCACCCGUGGAAGUUCCCCAUUGGCCACUGUUAGGAGCUGUAACAUAGACUUCUCCGAAAAUUGAGCGCGAAGGGCUCAAGUGAUUGUUAAUUUCACAGCAAUUGCCUUUUUUCUUUCUUUUUUUUUUUCUAAUUAUUGGAAAAUAUAAUUUAGUAUAACAAAUAUUAUAUCCUUUCCUUUAGUGCUGCAAAAAUUCCGAAACCUUAUAUUAUAUAAAGUUUUCAUAUUUCUCCUUUAUAGUGAAGACUCAUACUUAUUCUCUAGUAAAUGCUAAAGCAUUGGCUUAAACUUUUUAACCAGCACAGUAGACCCUUAAGCUAUAUAUACUAUAAUGUCCCUCUUCCCUCACAGAUUAAAGCCAAUAUGAUCUCAGAGUAAGUUUGCUUCAAAGGAGUAUCCUUACUAACUAAUAUAGGCUCGAUCAAUAGGGAUGAUAAUAAUUUUUUUUUAUCUACGAACAUUAUUUUUUCAAAAUAUUAUAUCUUUAGACUUAACUAAAUAUUUUUUAACCAUAUAUGUAUAGUUCGAUUAAAUAGUGGAGAUUACAACAAAACAGAUGCGAAUUAGUAGUGAUGUUGAGUUCAGAAGAUUGAAGUUAAAAAAAUAAAGGGUUUCUUGAUUUAGGGAAAUUUCAAAAGAGUGAAGCGUCUUCUAAAUCAAGACGAAAAUAAGAAAAGGGUAAUGGUGUAUUUUCGAAGUGAUUCUAUUGAAAGAUCUUUGAAGAUUACUUUCGUUAAGAGCUGGAUCCCACACUCUUGAGCCUUUGUCGUCCCAGUCAACUAUAAAGACACGUUAUUAUUGAGUGUGAAUAUUCCGAGUUAUAAAUCACCAAAUUUUCAAACUUGUGAUCUUCAUUGAAUCUGCAAUCCCUUUUGAAAAAAAAAAAAGAAAAAGAAAGGAAAACUGCAAAUAAUGAAACAAAAUUCUGAUCCUUGAUAGAGUUACGCGGCUUCAACUUGCAAGUGCUGUCGGCAUUUUCAAACUUGUGAGACCCUUCAACUUGCUUUCCAAGAUAGCUAUAAUUAAUAAUGACAACCGAAGACGGCCACGUUUGCGGUACAAAAGUUGCACCAUAUUAGACGUUCUUUUUUGUUCUUAUCCGAAGUAACCGUUGGAUUCAAAGGAAAGUGAUCAGACAUUCAAUAGCUUCACACGUGGACAUUAUAGGAUACCGGUCAAAUCGGUUAGCGCUCCUCCACAUCAAACUCACAAGCAUGGCAAUCAUCGUAUUCGUAUCAGCUUGGAAACUUGUUACAAGUAACGAAGAGCAACAGAGUCCGCUCCUCUAGAGUCGGCAACAGAGUUUUAAUUAACGGCAUCUUCUCUCACAUUUUUUUUUAAAAAUUGAAUUAUAUAACCCACCAAAACUAUAAAGAAUUGUUAUUCUUCAUUAAAAUUAAUAUACUGUUCCUCAUAUUAAAAAAUCAAAAUUCAGAAUAAGAAUAAUUGAUACUGUUUAUUUACUAAAAUGAAAAUGAGAAUAAAAAUAAAAUAUAUGGAGCCUAUAUAUUUUUUAAAUUAAAAAAUAAGAACUUUUCAUGAGGAGUGUUGAGAAUCAAGUUCUCAUUAUUUAAACUCUCAAUUGUACCUUACCAAAAUUUCAUAAUUUCACUUUUGUUCUCAAUUAAAAUAUUAUUACAGUUAUUAUUCUUAUUUUUGUAGUUGUUGUUGUUGAUGAUGAUGAUUAUGAUGAUACAUGAUAAUAAAAUUAAUGAUAAUAAUAAUGAUAAUGAUAAUGAUAAUAAUAAUAAUGAUAUGAUAAUGAUGAUAAUAAUUUGAACAACAACAACAACAAUAAAUAAUAAUAAUAAUAAUGAAAAUAAUAACUAUAAUUUUAACAACAAUAAUAAUCAUUAAUAUUAUUAUUGUUAAAAUUAUUAUUAUUAUUAGAUAAUUAUUUUGAAUAAUAAUAAUCACAAGUCUAUUCUGAUUCCAGUUUAUUCCGAUUAUCGAUUAGAAAAUGCAUCAUUACUGUUUUAAUAAUAACUAAUAAUUCUCUUGACAUCAUAAUCGUAAUUCUUAUACUAUUAUCCUUAUUUUAAAAUCCACUACCAUGAGCUUGCAUCAUUUGAAAUGGUAGGUACUAGGUAGCAAUUGCUUACAUCAAAAUAUCUAGACUCACUCGGCAAAGUAUCCGAGGCCAAAACGCCAAAAGAUGGGACACCCACAUGUGCAUCUAAUUACAAAAUCUAAAGUUAAUGAAAAAGAAAAAAGAAAAAGUAUAAAUGAACGGUAUUGGCUGUAGGACAAGGGGAGGGGAAAAAGGACCAUUUUGUUUUCUUUGCUAAUUCACAUGGGGAAGGGAAAAAAAGAAAAAGACAGUUUUGAUUAAAAAACACAGAAUAUUCAAUUCACAAGCCACCAAUGCUUGUGGACCAAUGGUCGAUAUAUGAAAGUUAGAGAUUCUGGCAAAAUGAGCAAAUAUUUUGAGUUGAUUAAUGGAUUUGUUUGUAAUGCAAUACAAGAUAGCAUUUUAAAGCUGGCAAGAAAGAAAGAAAUAAGUCAAUAAUUGAGAUAUUUAAAGAAGCUCAAGUGGUCAUGAAAUCUCUCCUUAAAAACUAUACAAGAUAAUGUUAAUGAUAAAGUUAGCCAACCAAGUCGUUCAAUCAUUGCUAGAAGCAAGCAGCCAUUGAAGUUGAUAGAAGCUAAUGCAUGGAAAAAGGUUCGUUACAUAAAGGAGAUAAUGAGAAAAUUGAUGAACCCCUAUCAUCCAUGUUUUGUUUCAAUCAAAAGGUUUGAAUUUUAAGGCCGAUAUUUUGGACUGAAUCCCCCUGUCUGCUUCCAAAGGGGAGGAUGUGCAUGUAGUUGAUUGGGCCGAUGAUUGUGAUGGGAGGGAACUUUUAGCUUGGAAAUGGACCUAGCAAGCCCAUGUUUGAUUCGGUAAGUUGUGACUUCUCAUGGGCAUUUGAAAUUUUUAAAUGGCCUUUUAUAACCUUUGUCAAGAUUCUCAGAAAUCGAAUCAUUCGGUGAUUACUUGCAAAUUCGGAAAGGAAAUUGGAAUCAAACUGGGGUUCUAAUUAAAAAAAAAAAGGGUUCAGAAUCAGAAUUUUGUUCUUUUGACUGACUAAACUACCCUCAUUUAAUUUUCAAAAUGCCCAAAUUUUUAUCAUGCUCACUUGGCGUUAUCUCGUCUUGUGGGAGCUGUAGGACAGUUGAGAUAAAAGAUAUUGCUCCAGUAUCUACUGUUUUCUCAUCCUGAUCUUCAGAGUUAUUCUCAACAAUGGACAAAUUUGAGUUUAGAACAGCAUCAGAAACCAAUGACACCCAGUCGCAUCCAGCUACUUCUUCACUUUGCUCAAUUCGACAGAUUUUACGCAAAUUUGUUUUGUUCUCAAAAUAGUCUGCUGCUCCCGGAUUGUCCUCAUUACAUUGAACGAAUGAUGACGACGCUCUGUCCGUUUCUGGCUCUCUGCUUUUCUCUUUCACAUCACGAGACACCUCGUUUCUAACUGGGGUACCACCAUCACAUUUAACUGUUAUUGGCAACUCAAUAGCUAAUUCCAAUGUUUCCUCAAGCAGUUUAGAGAUAAACUCUCUCGCUGAACUCCCUGGAGUAACACAAUCCAGUUUUCCAGUGCAAUCAUCAAACAGUUGAACAGCUCCUGAAUUCCCUUUGCUUUUCUUGUUUUCUUUUCCAUGUAAAGGGAGCUCAGGCUUCAAUAUAUCUGGGGAUUGAUUACUAAUGAUAAAGACAACAUGCUGUAGAGGACACAAAUUGUUAUUAAACAACGAUGCACUUUUCAUUUUUCAACUGAGUACGGUAAAGCAAGAAUGGGUAAUUAGUUUUACCUGCUAAGCGAAAAUCUACACUCCCGAAGGUAACCGAUCUUGGGUGAAGCAAAUAAAGACGAAGGCGAAGUAAAAUUCACUGAGUUGAAUGAGCGAUCAUUGCUGAUAUAAUUAAAGACUGGUGAAUCCUGCAUGUUGACAAGCAUCAUUUUUAAUCUAACAUAGAGUCUUAAAAACCUGGUCAGUGGCAAAUGAUCACGACAACAAAUCUGAAGUACAAACAGCAGAGCUCAACAAAUCACUAAGAGAAAAUAACACCAGUAACCAAGCAGAUGAAAGAAAAGCAAAAUAAUCCAUCUCAAAUCACCACAUGCACAAUUUAAGGGGGUUGUGACAUGGGUUUAAGCAUGAUUUAACAAGUGCCACCAGUGAAUUCUCAGAUUGAAUUUUCAUACACAUGUCAAAUUUUCAAGUCCAACGAAUUGUUAUCUUUCUGAAGAUAUUAACUAUGCAUAGCAUGCUAUAAACAAAUCAUAUUAUUAGGGCCUUUGUUUGCUGUACACAACAUAUGUACAGAGGAACAAAUCCAUGAGCUGAAAUCAUCAUAUUCCAAAAUAUUCUACCCAAUCAACACUACAAAACCGUAACGCUAAACAGAAUUGGAGCAAUUUAAGAAAGCUAUUUGUCACACAAAGCACUAGUACCUCAGAACCCAAUUUGCAAAAAAGCAACAAAAAUGAAAAAUAACAAAUGCCCAGAUGCAAAAUCAGGAAAAAAUGCUCAAAUACAAACUACAACCCCAUAAGCUGAGAUUGACCUCAAACUUGGAAACAGAAGCGACAGUGAUCUGUUUCUUGUCUGGAGUGUCCAUUUCUAUAAUCUACUUUGUCCGUUUUCAGUCGCUCCGCCACAAAGCCUCUUCACUCCGAAGCUGAAACUCGCCACACACUUGCAAAACGAAAGCAUUUGAUUGAUUGAGAGGCGGGAAGGCGGGAAAACGAGCGAAAUUUGCUUUUGUUUUUUCUUCGUUUGGUCAUACAUGUGCGGGCCCCCCAGGUUGACAAGCGUUAUCAUUACUAUUUGCAUUAUUUGAAGGACGCGUGUCAUGCAACGACGAUAGAAAAAGUGGUGCAAAACUCCAAUUGUCACGAAAUGAUGAUAAAAUAAAAAUAUAUCGUUAAUUUUUCACUUAACAUUGGAAUAUCAUAUAAUUUUAUGGUCAUUUUCUCGCCGCCACAUUCUUUUGAUAAAAUAAUACGGUAAAACUUUUCUAUAAUCAUGAUAUUAGAACCCAAUUAACUUUGUUUCUACAAAGAGGUUAUAGCUUAAUAAAGUAAAAUUGUAAAAAAUAUUAUUUUGACUUAAUUAUCUAAAGAGUAAAUAUAUAAUAAUUAAUUAAUAAAUUAUGUCAAAUACAAUAUAUGGACUAUGAUAAAAAAGAUAGACAUAAUUUCAUAAAAUUAAUACAUAUGUUUUUGUAGUGCUGCGAUUAUACAAAGUUAUCUUAAAAGUGUAAAGAGUAAAGUAUUGUUUUAAUUAAUUUAAAAAAAUAUUUUAUUAUUAACCUUUAAUGCAACAUAGUAAUUUUUUUUCCCUGGCAACAAAGUAUUGUUCCAAAUAAUUAUUAUUGGAUCUAGAUCCUGCCCUAGGCAUUUUCUCUACUAAUCCUCAUAAACUUUUAGGGUAUGUUUGGCACGUAAGAUUAGAUUGGACAAACUAUUAUGAUUGGACUAACUUAGAAUGGAUUAGAUUAGAUUGGAUUAUAUAUAGUGCUGACUUAUGUUUGGUAUGGUAUUGGAUUAGAUUAUGUUAAAUUAAAUUUACAUAAAAUUAAAUAGUAUUUACAUUAAUAUUUGAAUUUAAAUAUCAACUAUUUAUAGAUAUUUAACAAGAAAUAUUAUAAUUAAUUAAAAAUAGCAAUUGGGUAGUCAUAAUUAUAAUAAAGAAAUAUAAAUUAUUUAAAUUAUAGGUUAUUUCAAAGAGUGAUGAUACAACCACAAAUUCUUGUACAAACUGAUUUGGCAUUAAUUCAUUUAUUGAAUGAAAAUAUAAAAUAAUAAAAAUAAAUCAUGUGGGCCCAAGAUAUAUUUAAUUCAACCAAUUUUAUCAUGCCACAUCAGUUUGUACAAAAAUUUGUGAUUAUAUUAUUACUCUAUUUCAAAUGAGAGAUAUCAUUUCAUUGAAUAAAAUAAAUAAAAUUAUUCAAAUAAUAAAUUAAUUAAUAAAAUUUAAGUAAAUCAUGAAUAAAAAAGAAAUCAAUUAAUUAAAAACAGUAAAUAAUUAAAUAAUUUUUAAUUUAUAAAUAAAAUGGUAUAAUAAAUUAUGGAAGAUACUAUAAAUACACAAAUAUUUUUUUCACAUUAUCUAGUUCUAACUAAACACACAUAAAAAUUAGGAUUAGCAAUCCCAUGAAUUUAGGAUUAAAAUUUGAAUUUAGUCGAUUAAUCCAAUACAAGUGAGCAUGCUAAAUAUGGUAUUAAUAUUUUAUCCCAGUAAUAAGUCCAAUUCUACACUUAAUCGUACCUCCCAAAUAUAAUCUUAAGGAUCUAUUGACAUGUGUCAUUAAUGAAAUUAAAUGGCUAAGAUUUUGUUUUAAUUAUUUUUUACCUAAAUAGACAUCAAAACUCAUGUGUGACUCUUGUUAAAUUUUUUCUUACAAAUUCUUUUCCUCUUAAUUCUUUAUAUUUUGACACUAAUUUCCAGCAAAUUAUUUAAAAAAAAGGAGCACAAAUUGGAAAAAAGUGAUUGACAACAAGGUUUGCAUCUUAAUUUCAAAAUUUUCCUUUCUUUGAUGUUUUUGUGGUUUCUAUAAUUGUUGUUUUCACUCUAAGUUGCAAUUCAAUGAACUAAAUUAGUGUUGCUACUUUAUAAACUGCUAUUACUGGGCAUAUAAUUCUAUUGCUACAAUUUUUUUGAGUUUAUAGUUUCUGUUCUAUUCUCUUUUUGGGUUUGCAACUGCUGUUUGUUGUUUUUUUAGGUUUUAUAGUUGAUGUUUUGGGAAAAAUAAAAAUAAAUGUGAUCUUGAAUUCUUUAACUACUAUGAAACAAUUAAAUUAUUUAGCUGCUGCAUUUUCUGCUGUAUUAUUAUAGGCGAGAUGUGUGUCGAAAGGGAAAGAAUUUGCCUAAAAAAAAAAAUUGACAAGAGUCACAUGUGAGUUUAGAUGUCUUUUUUAAGUAAAAAUUAAUUAAAAUUAAAUAUUAGCCAUUAAUAACACAUGUCAAUAAAUUUUUCAAAGUCUAAGAAGAUUGGAAGAGGAUCCGAUCUAUUAUUUACUCUAUAAAAGGAAGUUCCUUGAAGACAAGAACUAUAAAUAAAUUAAUAUAAUGAAUUUAUUCUUAACCUAGUCUAAAUUGAGACUAAAAUUUUUUACUUAAAAAUUUACUAGCUAGCUUUACCUUGAUGGACUAGCUAUGGCCCAUACACAUUUCUCCAAUUUUAUUAAUAUUUUUGUGCAUAGCAAUUAGGGAUACGUGACAAUAAAUUAUCCUUUUAACAUAUAAAAAGUAUUCUCACAAGUAGUGUGCCCCUCCAAAGGGCACAGACAGACUUUUAGCCUCUUUCUUCGGUUUACCACUCCAGUUGGAAUCUUCAAUAAGAUUAAACAUUGAAUAUAUCUAAAAUAUUAGCAAUAUUUGUACUUAUAUUUAACAAAACUAGAGUAAUAUAUUGAUUAAUCUACAUAAUUUUGGGCGGGUUCUUAUGUAAUGUUACAAUUAACAUAGAUUAUUUUCACGGUAUAAGGCAAAUCUUGAGAAUGAACCCAUUUCAAUAUGGUUUCCACAAUAAAUGAACCCACUUUACUACCAAUGAAAGGCCUUGACUCAUAUAUAUCCACCUGGAAAGAAGGGGGGGGGGGGGGAGAGAAGAAAUCUUCUAAUUUCUUUCACCAUCAACAAAAUCAGUGAAACACAUACUAAUUCAAAAUAAAAUAAACUUUGUGAAUUGAAAUAAUGCCUGCUCUAAAGAAAAUGAUAACUGCUAUUCAUUUUUCUGAACUGCUGAUAAAAGCUUCUGCUAUUUACUUCGAAAAAAUUGAGUAACUUCAAAUUUUGAGUUUAGGCAAGAGGAUGAAUGGUAAAAGUGAGACAUUUUAGGGGAAAAGUAAAUACUUGAUAGGCCAAUGAAACAUUCAAAAGAUUGAAAUCUAAAUGAGCAAAACCUCAUGGCCUUGAGGCCCUUGAUCCAACAAUUCCACUGCUGUUGACAUGCCUGCAAGCCCAACUCCAAUAAUAGCCACUUUCAGCUUUGGUCCUCUAUAAUGUUCCGGUUCUGGUGGAAACAAACACUUGGGAGCUGCCAAGUAUACCAUUCAAUUAUCCACAGCGAUAUUGGAAAAACAUACAUGUUUGAAAGUACUAAAUAUCAAAUGUCUCCCGAAAAAAAUACAAAGCACAAUUGCAUAAGCAUUUCAUUUCCCAAUAAAUUUCAAGAAUACAAAAUACUUGGUCUGUUCUUGAGUUCCUUUAAGAAAAUUUCCACGAGAGAGCACGCAAGCCACUCAAUAACACUCCAAAGUCAGAUUUUAAACGUUAUCUUGAUCUAUAAGUACAAUCCAUGAACCAUUCUGCCACAAAUUCAAUUAAAAAUUAUUCAAGUAAAAUGCCAAAUUCUCCUUCAAUAGCCUCAAAAAUUCAUAACUAGCAAACACUACAGAACAAAAAGAGCUCCCAGCAAUAAACGCAUAAAAAUCCCACCAGAAACCAGAAAACCCAAAAGAUCAAUACUUGGUAAACAAACAAAUCAAAUCAAAUAAAACAAAAAGAAGAGAAAUUUACCAUUAACACUCAUAUCAGAAACGUUAGUAUCCAAAGAAGCCCGUACACAGAAUCUUGGAACCUUCACUUGAACCCGAGACCAACAAACACCAGUAACUGAAGUUGCAGGAAACAGAAGUGAAGAACCCAUAUUGAAAUAAAAGAAUCCAAACCCAAAGUGCCACAUCUAAAUAUGAUGGAUCCACUUAAAAUAAACAUAUAAAAAUCUUCAAUAUGAGUGCGAAAAUGUGUGGGGGAAAAAACUAAAAAGUGGUUUACCAUGCAGCAAUAUGAAUUUUAAGCUCUCUUUUCUUAUGUCACUCAAGGCAUUGGCUGGAUGGCCAAACAGCAGAGUUCAAGUGUACAAUAGAGAAUCGAAAUUUUCCUUUGUAAAUGUUCAUAAGUAUUUACCACAGAUUUUUAAGUUAUUCUUGAUAGAUCCCCUACCACAUACGCUAUAAUAUUUCUCUCCUUUUAAUUUAAAAGUAAAUCAUGCAUAAUAACGCACUUGUAAAGAAAUGAAAUUUUCGGUAAUUAACUGACAAAAUAAAAAAAAAGGAUUAUGCGAAAGAAGUUAAUAUAGAGUAAGUCGAGUACUUGACAAUCAAAGUAAUUUACUCGAGGUUGAGUAAGGAUAGUACGAUACUUUCUCAAGUUUUCUGAGGACAUUCAUGUGACAUUGGACUAUUGAUUAUAGUUAGAGAGAAGUCCAAGGAUGUAAGUGAUGAUGAUAGAUUCAGAAUUCUUUUGAAGAAAAUAUUUUAUAUAAACUUAAUUAUAUGGUAUAAAAUGAUUGGCCUUAAUAAAAUUAAAAAAUAAUAAAAAUAAUACACGCCUGGGUCAUGCAAUAUUUUCAACCAACUAAUUUACACGCAAAAUUAAAACUUUAUGAGUACAUUUAUUUGCUAGCAGAAACUCUGCCAAAUUUUCCGAAAUGUGAAAGUGAACACUUUUAACAGCGGCACAAAAUGCCUGUGAUAAUGAAACAAUGUGCCAUCCUUAAACUAAUAUUAUUAGAAACUAUAAGUGAAAGUUUUCAGAAAACAUGUGAUAAGUUUUUCUCGGAAUUUGUUUUCUCCUUUGUUUUGAUUUACGCGAGAGAUAGUUGUAAAGAUUGUUUUGAUAAGUUUUCAGAAAACAUGUGACGAAUCGUAGUAAAAAAUUUAUACAUAAUAAUUGAAUGAGAUCCAUGGUUCACAAUUGCAAAUUAAAGGUUGGUUUUAUAAUAAAAAUCGUUUUGUGCAUACCAAAUUAGAAAAGAUUAUAAGUAAAUUAAGAUUUUCAAAAUUUGACUAGUACUAUAUUACGUACAUCAAUAUAAUAUAAAUUUGUUAUAUUUAUAUAUGUUAUUCUGUAACUAAUGCUUUCAAAAAUUUUAUACUUGUAUGUUUGAACAACUUUUUUUCGCUUUCUAUUUAUAUACGAUAUUAUUUAUGUUUACAUAAAUUUUCAUAUGUACCCAAAUUAAGUAUUAAAUACACACACUCUGGUAAGACACAUUUCUAGUAUCAGACAAUGAUAUUAUAUUGAAUGUAAUGCUUCAAUGAAUUUUAUUACUAUAUACUAAAAUACUCAACGAUCUUCAUUAAAAAAAAAAAAAAGAAAUUGCAUGAUUAGAAUGAUUAAAGUUCAUUUAAUGACGAGUUUCAUCAUUGACUGUGUCGAAACAGAACAGCAAUCCACAAUACACUCAACACGAGAGGCGCACACAAGCAUGCAUGAAUCUUCCACCAUUAAACCUGAAAUCAUAAAAUGAAAGAAACAAGGUGAGUGUUGUUUUACGGUCUGAAAGCCGAUUCGAAAUAAUAAUAAUAAUAGACCUUUGUUAAUAGUUACUACUAGUGGUCACUGCCUUGUCCAUCUUCCUUCUCUGUAUUAUCGUCCUCUUCCAAGCCGCUGUCAUCUGACCAAACCCCAGCAACCAUGGGAAAAAUCACCUACUUGUUUUAGGAGCAGGAGCAGGAGCAGGAGGAGGAAAUUAAGUUAGGGAUUUGGAGUGAUAGGGAAAAAGCUGAUUGUUGAGAAAUAUGUAUACCUUUUGUAUGGUUGUGUUAAGGUCGCCCUUCCAAGCCCAACGUGCUUCACUCCGCCGCUGCACUUCGUGUAAUUUGGGUGUACUUAAAUUUCCUUCAGAGAAAAUCUUCAUAUCGGGGCAAUCAUCCACCACUAAUAUUUCCAAAGAUGGGAACUUGAAAGCACAAUUGCCAGAGCAGAAGCUUGUCAAACUUUUUAAGUCUAAAAGCUUCAACUCCUUCAAUUCUCUGAAAGUAAUAACCUCAUCUUUUGCCACAACAUCAUCCACCAAUACUAUUUCUGUUAUCAUAACGCAUGAUUUUAUCUUCAUAUAUCUAAGUCGCACCAGAGACUUUGCAAUUGAGGAUGUUAAUACGAUUUUCAAUCUUUCGCAACUGAAUACCACCAGAUUUGUAAGAUUCUGAAAGGAUGUCGACGAUGGCACUAGAUUGACCAAACGGUCACACCCCUUUACACGUAGAAUAACCAAGUUGUUCGUAACAGAGGACUCCCUUAUCAAAAUGUUCUCCAGAUGAUAACAAUUAUUUGCUUCACUUAUUUCUACUGCCAUACCAUUUUCAACCUUCUCUUUCGGCGACCGGCCACCAUAUCCUUGUAUUUGGAGGACUUUCAUUGUGUGAAGUCUCUGGAGGAAGUCAUCAAGUGAUACAAUAGUCGGCUCAUCAACCAACUCCACAAAAAGAUAUUUUAGUUUGCAAAGCAAGUCUUCAAAAAAUAGAUAUUUAUUUGUUCCUAUGUACUUUGCAUCAACUUUCAACUCUUCCAAAUUAGGGAAUACCUGGGAGAUCGAUCAGAACCAAAAAAAAAAAAAAUACAAGAUGAAUCAGUUGAUGAGAAUUAUAAGUUACCACUAAUUUAUACAAUAUAUUUUAUUCAAUAAAUCAAUAAAUACAAGAUAAACUUUCACAGUACAUACAUAAGAAUUGAAAAAUUGAUUAUAAAACUCUUGUACGUACCCUUUCCGUCAAGAUAUUAGUAGUUCUUUUGCAUCUCGCCAUGAAUUCAGGACAUCCAGAUAUCCCUAAUUCUUUCAAGGAUGGAAAUUCAAGAUUAUCAAGAUCUCCAGUGCAGAAGCUUGUGAACUUUUCAAGAUCAGACAUCCUCAGAGAUUGCAACUGGGGAAACGUUACAAUAUUAUUCUUCAUUUCUUCUUGGUUGUCCACGACUAUUAACUCUUCCAGGACAGGACAUUUGACUAUCAUAAUGUGUUGGAGUCGAACAAAGCUACUAACUGUACAAGAUGAAAAUAGACAUCUUAAAUUCAUACAGCUGUACAGGGUCAAGCGCGUUAAAUUCUGAAUACCACAAGACAUGACUGCAACUUGGUUCAGCCAAAUCCUCUCAACAUUUAUUGAAUACAACAUCAACUCCUCCAAAUUUGGUAAUGCAACCUGCACGAUCAAAAAAUUAACUUGUUAAUUACAAGCAACAAUGAUUUCUGUUGAUGGACAAAUCAAUAAAAUUACUCUUUCUCUGUUUAUAGUUCUUUUCAGUUUUUCAUACAAACAACCGUUAAUCAAGUUUUCCAAAUUAUUCCUUACUAAAUUUUGGUUGAUUCGCAAUAGGACCUACUAUCCAGCGCGAGCAGUUCUCGGGGAUUUAACUACUGGCACCUCGAUUAUAUAAAAAUUUAGACGGCGGCUAAUAUAAUUUAUAUGUAUUCUAAUGACGUAUAUUAAAGAAAAUGAUUAACCAUAAUUUCAAUCAACUUAUUAGUCUAUAUAUAUAUAUAUAUAUAUAUAUAAUAUUCAGCGAUUACAACAUAUUUAGUAUUCCAUAACAUGAUGUUUAUAAUAAUAAUUAUUAUUAAUUCACUUAUUGUGUCAGAGUAUCUUUUCUUUCUCUAAGAAUGUAUUUGUUACACCCUACUAUACUUCGGAUGAAAAAUUUAGAAUAAUUGUGAAAUAUAAUUAUUAAUCACUCUUUGCCAUAUUUGUUACCAAACAGGAAUAUAACAAAGAAAAAAAACAAAAAUUAUAGAGAAUUAAUAAGACGAUUGACUUAUUAAUAACUGACCUUCUCAGGGAAAAGUGUAUUAUAAAUUUGGACAUUGUCCUCCAAAAUGAUUUCAUGUGACUGCAAAUCAUUAGCUGAUUCCUCUUGUCUCUGUUGACAUUGCAGGUAUCUUGAUUUUAGAGUGUAAACUUAAUUGUGAGCACAAUCUUAAUGCAUAGAUACAAGAUCUUUAAAAAUUAGUAUAAGAAACUUAGCACUAAAUCCAAAUUUGAUAUUUUGGAUUCCAUGAUUAAGAUUUUUUAAAUAAAAAUUUAAUAGAGUUAAUUUAAAAAUAAAAAUUAAAUAUGAAAAAUAAACUUGCAAUUAUGGAUUUAAUUUUAAUAAAUAAUGAAUGUUCUCUUUAUAUUUUUUUUAAAAGGUAAAAGAGCGUACAAAGCCCAAAUUCAUUUUUUUAAGUCCUUUACUCUCCCAUGAUUCAAACUUGGGUGGUUGUAGGAGGACUGCAAAUAUAUAAGACAGUUAACUUCACUUUUUUUUUCUUUUUUUUUUUGUUGAGAGAAAAGAGAAGAAGGAUAUUACAAAGCAUGAAGCUCGUGCAAUAUAAGGGCAAUUAUGGUUUUUUCUUUAAAUUAAAAUGGUAAGAUUCUGAAGCUAAAAGAUUAAAAUAUUAAUUAAAUUGCAAACAUUAAAGAUUUUUUUUGCAAAUGGUUGCUUUUAAAAUGAGAAUAAUAUAAUAUUUGAAGACUUUUCAAAAUUAAUUACUGUGAUGCACUAGAAAUUUCUAGCUUUAGUCUAAUGUAUAAAUUGACAAAACGAUAUUCGAAUCCCAGGUGAAAAGAACCCUCUCAUACCAAUUAUUUAAAUUAGGAAUGAUCAUACCUUUGACUCUGCCGGAUUGAGGGCGAGCCAGAGACGCUUGAGAUGGGAAGAGCCCACUUUGACUAAUUCAUUACGAAAAUAAUCGACAUCUUGCUCUUGCAAUCGCCAUAACUCAAGGUCUUCAAUUCUCUGCAGUUGCACGAUCAGCGAAUCCUUCAAGCAAAUCUUGUUAUUUAGCUCGAGACUGAAUUCACGACACCCAAUGCCGGUGCUCUCCCAAUAGCCAUCAUCUCCAAUGCGUAUGCUGUACCUUUCCAGCUUCUCCAAGAGCAGGCCUCUGGGCAGAGUGCUGACGUCACGGGCGCGUAAUUCCAAAGAGGUCAAGUUGGGCAAAUGCUUCAACUCCUCAAGGCUUGCAUUCUUAACCCCUUCUUCCACCUCCACCUCCCAAGCAGCAAAGCUUUGACCUAUAUAUAGUUCUUCUAAACGGGAUAAUUUUGACAGUAUAUUUGGUGGAAUAACUUCUAGGUCCUCACAAUGUCUCAAAUCAAGCAACUUUAGCCAAGUCAAUUCACCUACUUCUACCGGCAACUUCUUAAUAUCAGAAUCUCUUAGGCAAAGGAUUUCUAGUUUCUUCAAGUCUCCUACAACACUUAGAUCAGGCAGGUAGCACCAACACAAACUCAGUGUUCGAAGGUUUGACAGGAGACCAAGUGAUGAAGGCAAUGACCGUAGAUCCAUGUUAGUCAAGUUUACAACUCUGACCUCGAUCAUGCUCUUGAAAAAGUUGUCUGGAAUUGUUACUCGUGAAUAUUCCCAAGGAUCAUCACUUAUAAAAAGAAGUUCGAGCUGAGGACAUUCCAGUACUUUAGGAAGCAAAUUAGUGUUGAUAUCAUGUAAGACGAUUGAAGUGCAAUGCUUUAUUGCACUUCCGUCCGACCAUUCCCUGCAACCAUCAACCUGCUCAUUUGUAGCAGUAAACACAUUUCGUUCAGUAGAUGCAAUUGAUCUGGCGACAUCGCGAACUACAUCAUGCAUAGAAAACAACUCUUUCUUCUGGCUUAUAUGGUCAAGCAACAUACAAGAAGCUUUGAGUGUGCGCACCAAUGUAUGUACUCGAUUUCGUGCUACUUCAAUCUUAUUCACACCUUGAAAUAAACCCAAUCCCAUACCACACAUUAACAAGUCUUCAAUAGAUGCUAUGGCUGUAUAUCCUAUUAGCAAAAAGAUGUUCUUGAGAUCAUCCCUUCCUAGUUUAUUGUAGCUCAACUCGAUAGCUUUAAAUGCGGCUGGCUGUACAUCCUUAAAAUUCGAUGAAGAAGGCCUUCUUAGCUGUUCCAAUGCAUCCUUCCAUUCACGUAUGCUCUUGUUCCUUAAUGCCCUUGCAACCGUCACAAUGGAAACUGGUAGACCUGCACAUUCCUUUGCCACAUCCCUUGCUACCUCUUUCAAUUCAUUACCUUCAACAUAAUCACCUGCCAUCUUCGUGAAUAGACUCCAAGCUUCAUCUUCUUUUAAAAAUCCAACUGGGAAAUUUUUUCGAGACUCCAUCUCUCCAGACAAUACUUCUUCACUCCUCGCCGUGAACAGCACUUUACAUCCCAUGUGAUCAUCUCCGUGAGGAAUUCCGACAUCCAACAAAUCAAGAUUUUCCCAAAUAUUAUCCAAGAUUACAAGGAUCCUCUUCUCUUUCUUCAGUCGAUCAUAGAGUCUUCUUGCCCUACCCGAUUCACUCUCCUCAUCAAAUUUUAGACCUAGUUUAUCCGCGAUUUCUCCUUGAAGCUUUCUUACGUCUCGACUCUCAGACACCUCAGAAAAAACCACCUGAUCGAAAAGCUUGUCACUCUCUGCUUUUCUAGCAACUUCUUUAGCUAGCGUCGUCUUUCCGAUUCCGCCCAUUCCAUAAAUCAAAAGCAUGUUGACAUUGGGAUUUUUUAAUGCAUCAAUUAUUUCAUUCAGAAUGGACGUUCUUGAUUCAAAGGCCUCGAAGUCUUUGUUAGGCAUAAGCAAGGUAUCCUCCGGAAUGAUGCUGUAGGAAAUACUAUUAACUGGUCUAGCGUCCCGGACUUUGACAACAGCCUCCUUCUGCCUCUCUGCUUCCUUGCUAAGUCGAGGGCGGGUCUUCAAAUUAGGACAUGACCCCUUGAAACAACGCUUAUUUGCAGUGGCUUCAUCUUCUGUAAAUUUAUCUGCCUCUUCAAUGACACUGUUGGCCGUUGCAAGCCAAUUCUCAACGUUCUCUUCAAUCUCUUCUCCUUUUCUUUUAGCCUCAUCAACCUGGUGCUCUGUACUCACCCUCUCAGACUUUAGUUUCGCAACUUCAGUGUUGAGAUUCUGUAAGUUGCUCGUGUACUUACUCUCACGCAAAUAGCUAAUUUGGCGAUAUGCGGGAGGAGCCAAGCACUUUACAACUUCUAAAACAAUAGUAAGAAUGAUUUCAGCCAUCUUCAGUCCUUUGUCCUUGUCUCUCUAUCUCUCUUUUUCUGAAUUUUGGAAAAACAAUUCAACAAGUGACCGCAACAAGAUGGAACACAAGUGACCACAACAAGAUGGAACAAAAUACAAAGGAAAAAAAAUACAAAGAGUGGAUGGAGAAUAAAACAGAGACAGCGUCACAGCUAGACACAAUUAGAUAGAGAACAGAGGAAAACCAAAUAACAAGACUUAAGAUUACAACAAACAGAGGCCGAGGUGGAUAUAUAUACUUGGAGAAUAAAAUUCAAGAGCAAAGCGAGUGCUGGGCUGCAGUUUCUUAAGGAGAUUUAUAUAUCAUCCUCAAAAAUAAAUAUUUUAAGGUAGGUAUUUAGACUAUUUCAUCAUAAAAUAAAUGUAAUUAAUUUUCAUAAAUAUGUGAUAUCAAUAUUUAUUUAUUUUUUUAAUUACUGAUGGCCUUUGAAUAUACGAUACAUAUUACUAAUUCAAAAAAUAAAUUGUGAUUAUUUGUUAAUGUAUAUGAUUACUUGUGAUGGUAAACAAGGUAGAUAUGGUAUAUUUUGAAGUAGAAAAAAAAAAACAAAAGAAAAAACAGAGCUUUUACCAUUGCUUGCCUUAUCAUCUUUUAAAUUAAAGUUAUUAUUCUUUUAUUUUUCAAGUUGCCAACUCAUACGCAUUUUCUUUUAUUGAAUUUGAAGAUCAAUGAUUAUAAAUUUGUGUGAAAAUUUUAAGCCAAAAUUUUAAAUUAAAAUAAUCAUUAAGUUAUUAAAAAAUAAUAACUUAAUAUAACAAAUAUUAUAUCAUAUACUUUAUUGCUACAAGAUUACAAAACCUUAUAUUAUAUUAUGUUUCCAUAUUUCUCCUUUAUAGUGAAGACUCAUACUUUUUCUCUAGUAGAUGUUAAAGUAUUGGCUUAAACUUUUUAACCAGCACAGUAAACCCUUAAGCCUAUAUAUGCUAUAAUGUCCCUCUUCCCUCACAGAUCAAACACUAUUUUUCAAAAUAUUAUAUCUUUAGACUUAACAAAAUAUCUUUUAACCAUAUAUGUACAGUUUGUUUGAUCUCUUUUAAAUAUUGGAGAUUACAACAGAACAGAUGCGAAUUAGCAGUGACGCUGAGUUUAGAAGAUUGAAGUUAAGAAAAUUAAGGAAAGGGUAAGGAUGUAUUUUCAAAGUGAAUUAUUGAGAGAUCUUUGAAGAUUACUUCCGUCAAGAGCUGGGUCCUAUACUCUUAACCCUUUGUCCUCCAGUCAACCAUAAGACAAAUUAUUAUUGAGUGUGAGCAGACAUUAACCACCAAAUUUUCAAACUUGUGAUCCUUAUUGAAUCUGCAUUCCCCUUUACAAAAGUAAAAAAAAAAAGUGCAAAUAACGAAACAAAAUUCUGUUCCUUGACUGCAAGUGCUGUCGGCAUUUUCAGACUUGUAAGACCCUUCUACUUGCAAGAUACCACUGAAUUUGUCUUUUUUUUUUUAAAUUACACUAUAUUAUCUUAUAUUUUAUAAAAAAUUUAAUAAAUAUUAUAAAUUAUAAAUUUUUAUAUUUAAUAUUCUCAAAAUAAAUUAUCAAACAAAUGAUUCAUUUAUUAUUUUUUCUUUUAAAUUUUUGUUAUUAAGAAGAUUUUUGGAUAUUAAGCGUGAAGGGCUCCACUGAUCGCUAAUUUUGCAGCAAUUGCCCUUUUCUUUCUCCCCUAAUUGUUUUGAAAAAUAUCUAGUCUCAUUCAGCGAAGUAUCCAAGGCCAAAGGGCUAAAAGAUGGGACACCCACAUGUGCUUCUAAUUAAAAAGGGUUAUUUUUCGCUACCCCACAUGUUUUGACAAAUCAUAUUGUGUACCCAUUUGUUUCAACAAUCAUCAGUGUGCACCCAUUCUGUUAAAUUCAGCCGUUUAGUUUAACCAAUCAAGGGUAAAAUGGAUAUUGUACAAUAAAUGAAUAAAAAAUCAAGUUAAACUGUUUACACAGAAGAAAGAGAACAAGGAGAAGUAAAAGAACAACAUCAUUUCUGAAAAAACAACUCCAUCUCUGCAAAUCGUACCAUCCAAGAGCAUAAAUCAAAGCAAAUAUGGAGGGAAAAUAUUAUGUGUUGGAGUUGAUGUUCUUAUAUCCCCAUCUAGAGUAAGAGGUUUUGACAUGGUAGCGUCUUAUGACACCAUUGUAUUACAAGUUAUCAUUGGUAGUUUUUUGGCUGAAGGCUGGAAGGAGUCAAGAUCAUGGAUGCAACCAAAACCAUUGUCUUCUUCUAUGCCAAAAUUCAUCCUAGAAGCAUCAGCAAUUGGAAGCCCACCAUCACAUGGAAACUUAAGUGAAUCAUCUGGUGGACCUGGAAGCCCUCUAAACCACAGCACCGAAGGAGGCUGCAGUAACAGCAAUCCGCCAAGCAUACUGAAAUUUAAUGAGUUGGUGUUGUGUGAUUCAGCAUCAGUUUUUAUUUUUUAAAAUGCAUAUUAACAGUGACUGGUGGCAUUUUUGAAAUUUAAUGAUUUGAAAUUCAAAUUGGGGACAAAAUCACCAUUUCACAAAAUAAUUGUCAGAAUGGUUAAAAUAAACGGCUGAAUUUAACGGAAUGGGUGCGCGGUGAUAAUUGUUGAAAUAAGUGGGUUUACGGUAAAAUUUGUCAAAACAUGUGGGGGGUGGCCAAAAAUAACCGAAUUAAAAAAUCUAAAGUUAGGGGGACCAUAACUUACAUUUAAUAUAAUUUAUGAUAGGAGUCCACUUAUGUUACCACUGUACAACAGGUUUGGUCUUUUCUGACUCAAUUGCUGUAAAAGUUUGUUGAGCCCCUUGUACUCGAUAUUAUUUACUAUUUAUUUAUAAGUAUUAUAAAAAUUUUUGCUUACUUGUUAAAACAAACCUCUCGGCCCCACUUCCCUUUUUUUUUUUUUGAAAAGCCCCACUCCCCUUGUACUCGAUAUUUUUUACGCGUUUCUCUUUUCUCUCCCCCACGUGAACACUUUUGCCUUUUGCUCGUUCACGUGAAAGUCAGUUUAGAAUUUUGAUCUUAUUUCACAGAGCUAAUUUUUUUAUCACAAGCAGGAGAGAAACGGCAUUUCUUAGCAGUAGUUCAUCACUGUAGUAGCGAGCGAGUGAGGAACAAAAUUACCAACAAUUCUCAAAAAAUAAUUAUAAAAAAUGAUCACAUGCUAUAAUUAAUCAUGACACUUUGACAACAUUACUCCCACCGAGCAAAAGUUAACAGCAUCUUCUCCCACAUUUUUAAAAAAAAAAUUGUAUUAUAUAACCCACCAAAAGUAUAAAGAGUCUUUUCUUAUUAAAAUUAAUAAAUUACUCUUUAUAUUGAGAAAUUAAAAUUUAAAAUGAGAAUGAUGGGCGAUGUUCAUUUCUUAAAAUAAAAAUAAAAUUUAUGAAGUUUAUCUAUUUUUAGAAUUAAAGAAUAAGAACUUAAUUUCUUAUGGGGAGUGUUGGAAAUCAAGUUCUUAUUCCUUAAACUCUCAAUUUUACCUCACAAAAAUUUAUAAGUUCACUUUUAUCUUUAAUUAAAAUAUUAUUAUGUUAUUAUUAUGGUUAUUAUUCUUAUUUUUGUAGUAGUUGCUGUUGUUUUUGUUGAUGAUGAUGAUAAUAGUUGAUAAUAAAAUUAAUAAUAAUAAUGAAAAUAUAACUAUAAUUUUAACAGCUACAAUAAUAAUCAUUAAUAUUAUCGUUGUUGUUCUUAUUAUUAUUAUUAUUAUUAUUAUUACUACUACUACUAUCCUAUUAUAUUAUUAUUAUUAAAUAAUUAUUUUGAAUAAUAAUAAUCUCAAUUAUUAUAACAAACAACGACAAUAAUGAACUAAUGUCAUUUUCAUAACUUAUAACAAUUUAUUUUUUAUUUCAAGACAAAAUAAACAUAUUAAUAAUAAUACAGGUCAUUUCGAUUAUGAUUCUUACAGGUAAAAUAAAUAAUUUAUUAUGAUUUUCACAUCAUAAUCAUAAUUCUUAUAGUAUUAUCUUUAUUUUAAAAUACUUUUUUUAUUUAUAUUUAUUAUAAAUUAAUUAAAUUAUACCAAUGAAAAUUAAAUAAAAAUUUAAGUAAUAAAAAUGAGAAAAUAUAUGUUUCCGUUUGAAUAAAAAAUUAAUAAUAAAAUAUUUUUCUUAUUUUUUAAUAUUUUUAUUAUGAAGAAAAUAUAUUUUUCUUUUUUUAAUUAUUUUGAAAAAAUAUCCAGACUCAUUCUGCAAAGUACCCGAGGCCAAAGCGCCGAAAGAUAGGACACCCACAUGUGCUUUUAUUUACAAAAUCUAAAGUUAGGGUGGGUGUCCGAAACUUAAAUUUAAUAUAAUUUAUAAUUAGGUAAAAUUCUUUGAUUGACCCAUUAAAUUUUAUUAUUCUACUACUUAUUUUUAUAUUAAAAAAUUAGUAAUGUAGAAAAAUUCUUAAAAGUUAAUGGAGAAGGAAAAGAAAAAGAAAAAGUGUAAAUGAACUGUAUUCACCUAAGUUUCAAACACGUGGUUCAAUCUGAAUUCGCUUUUUUCAAAAGUAAAUACAAAAGAAAAUAUAAAGAAAAAAAAUUAAACGAGACAAAAAUCUGUGGCGUGGGUCAUUCAUAUCUUUUGUCAUUUCUUUUUUAGAGGUACAUGGGGUGGAUAUUUUGAAGUGACAAGCAGAGCUUUUACUGUUGCUUGCCUUAUCAUCUUUUAAAAUUAGAGUUACUAUUCUUUUAUUUUUAAGUAGCCAACGGAUGGUAGCCAACUCAUCCAUGUUCUCUAUUAUUGAAUUUAAAGAUCAAUGAUUUAUGUUAAUAAAUAUUUUGUUAACUAUCAAAGUUUUUAUUUCAAAAUUACUGUUAUAAUUCAUUAAUUUUUCAAUUUUUCCUUUUUCUAUUCACACAACAGAUUGAUUUGCCCUCCAAAAAAAUGUAUUAGAUUGUUUAAUAUUGUAACAUCAAGAAACUUAUAAUAAAUUUUUAAAGAGAUAACUAGAGAAUGUUAGCCUCGCAUCUACUCAAAAUUAAUAAAUAUACCACUAAUUCCUUAUUAUUUUUAUAAAACUAAUAACUUUCUUGGUAGUAUAAUUUUAUAGUAUUAUCCUUAUUUGUAAGUAUAUUUUUAUUCAUAUUUAUUAUAAAUUAAUUAAAUCAUAUCAAUAAAAAUUAAAAUAGAAUAAUAUGUUUUGGUGUGAAUAAAAGAUUGAAAAUAAAAAUAUUUUUCUUAUAUUUUUUGUUAUUUUUAAAUGUUUUUCAUAUAAUAAAUGUACAUUUUAUAUUCUUAAGAUGAAUUUUGAGUAAAUGACUCAUUUACUCAUUUUUUUUCUUUAAAUUUUUGUUACUAGGAGGAUUUUUAGAUAUAAUGAAAAUUGUAAGGUAGUAAGUAAUAUAUAAUAAUUUUAAUAGAGAAAAAUAAAAAAAUCUCUUAUUUUAAAAUAUAAGAAGAAAAAUAAUUAAUUUUAAGAAAUUUUAGAAGAUAUUUCAAUAUGCUGUGGAUCACACCCUCGAAUCUUUGUCGUCUCAGUCAACUAAAAGGACAGAAUAUUGAGCGUGAAGGCUCAACUGAUUGUUAAUUUCACAGCAAUUACCUUUUUUUUCUUCUUUUUUUCCUAAUUAUUUUGAAAUGGUAGGUAGCAAUUGCUUACAUCAAAAUAUUUAGACUCACUCGGCAAAGUAUCCGAGGCCAAAAUGCCAAAAGGUGGGACACCCACGUGUGCAUCUAAUUACAAAGUCUAAAGUUAAUGAAAAGAAAAAGAAAAAGUAUAAAUGAACGAUAUUCAUUCAAACAUCUAGUUCAAUAUGAAUUUCUUUUUACCAAAAGUAAAUUUGGGCGAGACUUUGCGAGGGGCCUCGGUGUGCCCGCGGGGAGUCGUCGGCUGAGCGCUGCCCAAAAAUAAGCGUCCGAAGGUCGUACGCUCGCGUGUGAGGCUGCCCUUGCUCGCGCGGCAACGUAGAGUAUGCUCACGCACGAGGCUGCCCACGCCCAGUCGCAAGUAGGGCAGCGCGCGCGACAAGUGGUUGCCCACUCUCGCGCACAAAACAAGCUUAUAAUAGAGCAGCUCCAGGCAUAUGAGGCAGUAGCCAUAAGACAUAAUUUUGAGAAUGGUGAGUGUGGAAACAGGGAGGAAUUUCAUAAGGUCAAAAAUGGGAUAUUGGCGGGCGAGGCUUUGCGAGGGGCCUCGGUGUGCCCGCGGGGAGUCGCGGGCACAGCCGCACCCCAAAAUAACGCCCCAAGGUCGGGGUGAUAAAAAGGCCUCAGUGCCCCGAGACGGGUGUGCUAUAGCCUUGGUGGGGGGCGCGGGCGAAGUUCGUCCGCCAGCGCGGCCGUGCCCGCAACUUCCGGCGGGCACACUGAGGCCCCUCGCAAAGCCUCCCCCUAUACCGAGUCCGGCGGACGAACUUCGCACGCGCCCCCCACCAAGGCUAUAGCCCACCCGUUUCGGACGAGACUUUGCGAGGGGCCUCGGUGCACCCGCGGGGAGUCGCGGGCACAGCCGCACCCAAAAAUAGUGCCCCAAGGUCAGGGUGCCGAAAAGGCCCCUAGGGGCCCCGAGACGGGUGGGCUAUACUGCCUCAAGGUCGGGUGCUAAAAAAGCCCCAGGGGCCCCGAAACGGGUGGGCUAUAGCCUUGGUGGGGGGCGCGGGCGAAGUUCGUCUGCCGGACUCGGAAUGAAGCGAGGCUAAACGAGAGCCCUCGGGUGCGCGGGCGAUGCUCGUAUGCCGGACUCAGAAUGGGGCGAGACUUUGCGAGGGGCCUCGGUGUGCCCGCGAGGAGUCACGGUGCCAAAAAGGCCCCAGGGGGCCCGAGUCGGGUGGGCUAUAGUCUUGGUGGGGGACGCAAGCGAAGUUCGUCUGCCGGACUUGGAAUGGGGCGAGGUUUUGCGAGGGACCUCGGCGAGCCCGCAGGGAGUCGGCGGCCGAGGACCAUCUUGAAGUCAUCCAUGAGGACGAUGGAGAAAUCAAGCUUUCCGCUCCACGUACUGAGUGUUAAGUGCACGCCUUGUGCAAUUCCUGCAAUUGACUUGGCGGGUGAGUUUACCGCUUUCAUCGUGCCUCUUUUCAUCUCGAUUCCCGAGGCCCGCUGGUCCCAUUGGACGAAACGGAACCACAAUCAGAUGCCUCGAUCAUGAGUUACGGCCAAAACCGGUAAAAACAACCCCGAUCUUACCCCCCGCUGGCGAUCAAAACCCGCUAACGCACUAGCGGAAAAAGGCCCCGAGACGGGUGGGCUUUAGCCUUGGUGGGGGGCAUGGGCGAAGUUCGUCCGCCGGACUCGGAAUGGGGCGAGGCUUUGCGAGGGGCCUCAGUGUGCCUGCGGGGAGUCGUGGGCACCCUGCCCUUCGGGGCCCAAAAAUAAGCGCCCGAAGGUUGGGGUAGCAAAGGCCCCAACGAAAAAAGGCCCCGAGACGGGUGGGCUAUAGCCUUGGUGGGGGGCGCCGCCGCACAAUUCAUCCUCCGCGGCCCUUUCCCCACUCCCCGGUGGGUCCGAGGUGUCCCGGAGAGUUACGAACUUGACGUGAUAAGUUGUAUAUUUCACGUGAAGUGUUACAUCCUUACUUCUUCAGCUUCCUUGUACGUUCACUUCUUAAGAAUCUGGCUAUGUUUUUUUAAUUUUAGGUAUUUUUAGUGUUGAAAUCUGGCUUGUAGUUGGGCUUAAUGAGUAGUGUAAAGAUUGUUGAUCAAUGAUUAAUGUGCUUGUUGCUGAUUUAUUUCUGUUUUUGUUUCAGAUUGGUGAGUGUCGCCUUGGUGGGGGGUGAGGGCGAAGUUCGUCCGCCGGACUCGGAAUGGGGCGAGGCUUUGCGAGGGACCUCGGGGAUGCAGCCCAGCCUCGCAUGCCAGCAGCACAUGCUCGCGGGCAAGGAUGGGCGCUCGCGCGGGGCAUACAGUAGGCAGUCGCGCGGUAAACUGCCCACGCUCUCGAGGCAAGCAGCUCCUAGUCGGGCAAGGCAGUGCGCGCUCGCCACCAAGGCAAGUAGCCCAAGCUCGCGCGAGGAAGUCAGGCCAGGCUUGUGCGCGCGCGUGGGGUGAGGCUUCGUAAGGGGCCUCAGUGUGCCCGCGGGGAGUCGUGGGCAUAGCCGCACCCAAAAAUAGUGCCCCUAAGGUGGUGGGGGGCACGGGCGAAGUUCAUUCGCCGGGCUCUGAAUGGGGCGAGGCUUUGCGAGAGGCCUCGUUGUGCCCACGGGGAGUCACGGGCACAGUCGCGCCCAAAAAUAGUGCCCCAAAGUCGGGGGGCCAUUGACUGGUGUACCACGAUCAUAUUUAACUGUUGUAUGCAUGAAUCCUUGUGACAUGACAUAUAGCCAAUUAAAUUCUGACAUGCGUGCAAUAAAGACUGUAAAGUGACCGGUUAUUCCGGUUGAAUUCACAAGAACUCUUGUUUGUGUGUUUAUGUUCCAAGUUGUGUACUCUUUGUUACGAGUUCUCUAAUUAGUCUGAUAUUAUCGCAACUGAUGCUCAAUAAUGUUACAGGUUUUAUAAUAUAUGUCACUGGUACGAUCGCUGUCACAAAUUUUGAACGAAAAGUUCCUAAUAAAACAAGUUAUUUAAUUAAUUAAAUAAGAAUAAAAUGAAUUUGUGAAAAAAAAUUUAAUUUAAUUUUGAAUUAUUUUAACCAAAAUUUAAGUUUUUUUUUUAAUUUGUUUAAGAAAAUGCGUUUUAAUUGGAAAAUCAAUGAAAAAAUUUAUGUAACAGAAAAAAAAAAAAAGCAAAACGUUUUGUUUUGGAUGGAGGCCAUAGAUUCCAAUAUUUCCUUCACGAAAACUACAAAAAAUUAUCAAAGGCAUCAAUUUCUACACUCUCACCGAGCAAUACUCUUAACCCAGAAGAAAGUGUAUAAACCAACCCCAAUCAGUCCAUCAAUGUCGUCAACCUCAUACAAUAUAAAAAAAAUCCGUGUCCAUUAAACCGUCUUUAUUGAGCCAUUAGACUAUUCGUGUCAUCUUCCCAUCUCGUUGUAGUAUUUUGCCGUUCAAAUCUAGUUAUCAAUUGGGGAAAAUGGGGACCAAUCUGCAAGUCUUUAAAAUAGAUAGGAACUUUAAUUGGGCACUAUGUUCACAGUGGUGGACCCAGCAGCAUUAAUAUUUAAGGUGGAGCUAUUUGUAUCUUAAAAAUGAUUUUAAAUAUUCUAAUUUCAAUAAGAAUAUAUAUUAUAAAAAUAUUUAUUAUAUAAGUUAUUGGACAAUAUAUUAUAAGUCAAUAUUAUAUAAUUACUUUGAACACUUAUAUAGCACAAUCCUAAUUUAAUUUAUUAUUCUCAUGACUUAAAUAUAAAAAUUUUUAUUUCCAACAUCUUAAUAAAUAUGUAGAUGAAUAAUAAGGAAAUUAACUUUGAGAAAAAAUUAAAUACAAAAUAUGUGUAAUACUUUUAAAAAUAAAAUAAAACAAAAGUAUUGCACAAGAUUUUUUUUGGGGGGAGGGGGGGGGGGGGGGCUUUGGCCAUUCUUCUUCUUCUUCUCCUUCUCUCUCUCUCUUUUUUUUUUUGGGUAGUAUUUAUGGAACAUUUUCUAUUGUUAUGUUCUCAUCACAAGUUAUUUUGGGUGUAAAAUUCAAUAUUGAAAAUAAAUUAAAUGAAAAAUUAGUAACGAAAAUUAUGUUAAAUUAUUUUUUUAUAACUUAAUUUUUAAUUAUAUUAUUGUGAGUAUAUGCUAAAUCUCUUAAAAAUAGAGUGUUGAAUAAUUUUAUUAGUUUUUUUUUAAAUAAAUAAAGUUAAGUAACUUAAAAAGUUUAAGUAAGGAUAUUUUUGAAUUUUAAUUAGUGUACAAAGUAAAGUUUAAUUUUUUUAUAAUUAAAUUAUAAACGUGAAAAAUAAUAGAAUGUUCAAAAUAAUAUUUAGAGUACUAAUAAUCCUACCUUAAUCUUUAUCAUCACAUUAUUUUUCAUAAAAAAUUUACAAUUACCUCUUUAUUGGAUAAUUUUGUUCCCUCUCUUACCUUAUGUUCCCUUACAUUCUCAUUUCUGCAUCACCAUUUAAAUUGUAAUCAUAACGUUAAUCUUUAUCCAUCACAUAUUUUGCCAAAUUUAUUCGCACCGCAAAGCUCUUUCCUUUUUUUUUUUUUCCUCCGUUAAGUUUGCUAUAAUGUACGUGAAGAAUAGUUAAAGAGCUCUUUCGUGUCCUUACCCUUUUUUUCGGGUUCACUUUUGCUGCUUUUUAACGUUUCUCCAGAAUUCACUUCAACAUGACUGGCGCAUUUUCUUCUUUCUCGUUGCAACAUCAACUGGGCCACCACCUCUUGCCUCUCCCGGUUCCCCUCAAUUUUCGUAUUCAAUGUCCACCGUUGAUUGUACAUUUAUUAAAACUCUGUGGUUAUUGUUUUUUUGCAUACAUUUAAUUCCACACGGUCUAUCAAUAGAGCAGGUGCAUCGUAGUUGUGGCCUUAACUGUUAUUGGUAACUCAAUAGCUAAUUCUAAUGUUUCAUCAAGCAGUUUAGAGAUAACCUCUCUCGCUGAACUCCUUGGAGUAACGCAAUCCAGUUUUCCAGUGCAAUCACCAGACAGUUGAACAGCUUCUGAAUUCCCUAUGCUUUUCUUGUUUUCUUUUCCAUGUAAAGGGAGCUCAGGCUUCAAUAUAUCUGGGGAUUGAUUACUAAUGAUAAAGACAACAUACGGUAGAGGACACAAAUUGUUAUUAAAGAAUGAUGCACUUUUCAACUGAGUAUAGUAAAGCAAGAAUGGGUAAUUAGUUUUACCUGCAACGUGAAAAUCUAGACUCCCGACGGUAACCGAUCUUUGGUCAAGCAAAUAAAGAAGAAGGCGAAGUAAAAUUCACUGAGUUGAAUGAGCGAUCAUUGCGUAUGGACUUGACUUGUUCAAUGGGUGAAAGACUGCUGAUAUAAUUAAAGACUGGAGAAUCCUGCACGUUGACAAGCAUCAUUUUUAAUCUAACAUAGAGUCUUAAAAACUUUGUCAGUGGCAAAUGAUCACGACAAGAAAUCUGAAGUAGAAACAGCAGAGCUCAACAAAUCACUAAGAGAAAAUAAGACCAAUAACCAAGCAGAUAAAAGAAAAGCAAAAUAACCCAUCUCAAAAUCACCGCAUGCACAAUUAGGGAUGGCAAUUUCCGGGUCCGGGUCCGGGUCCGGGUUUGGCUGUUCCGGAUCCGGACCCGGACACGAAAUUUUCAUAACCGGACCCGCAUUAAACCCGGGUUUUUUUAAUCCGGGUCCGGUCCGGGUUCAACCCGGAAAAAUCCGGGUUUCCGGAUUCCGGGUUUUGAACCCGGAUUGCUUAUUUUUUUUUUUUUAGAGACCAUAUAACUUAUUUUAACAAGGCACAGGGGAUGGGGUUUAAUGUUUUAAUCUUUUCCCCAACAACACACUACACAAUUCUUCCUAGAAUUGGUUCAAUAAAAUUUGAUGGAUAAAAGGCAAAAUAAAAGAACAUAUAACACAUCAGUGACAUCACUAGACUACUAGAACCAAAUUGUUUAACUUUGGUUCAUCAAAAUUUGCCGGACAUAGGGCAAAAAAACAGAACAUAUAAACACAUCCAGAACCACCAGCCCACUAGAACCAAAUUGUUUAACUUUGGUUCAUCAAAAUUUGCUGGACACAGGGCCAAAUAACAGAACAUAAUAACACAUCCAGCUUCUAAAACAAAUACAACACAAAUACACAAUAUAAAAUCUAAAAUUCAAAGUUUUAAAGUAAUAAACAUCCACAAAUACAAAUUCAUAACAUAAUUCUAUAAUUUAAAGCUGAAAUUUCCAGCCACUGCCCACUAGUGCUCAGAUUUCUAGCCACUGCCCACAGCCCACCAAUGCUCAAAUUUCCAGCCACCGCCCACUAGUGCUCAUAUUUCCAGCCACUGCCCACAGCCCACCAGUGCUCAAAUUUCCAGCCACUGCGGCACUGCCCACCAGUGCUCAAAUUUCCAGCCACUGCCCACCAGUACUAAAGACUAAACUCUGAAUCAUGCACUUCAUUGGACUGUUGUUCACUCAUCAAACUUUCAUCAAUCAAAUGCUCUGCAGAAAGUAUUGCUUCCUCUGGAAUUCCAUUUACAAAAAAUGUGUAAAUCAUAAACAUAAUGAACAAGACAACCAAUUAGUGACAAAUUGAUAAUAAGAACAAUACAACAAAUAAUUUGAUUCUAAUAAAUAAAAUUUUCAUACCUUUUAAGUUUUGUUCAAGCCAAAACCAAUUUUGAGUGCACACUAAUGCCUCUACUGUGGAUGGGUGAAGUCUACUACGAUGAGGGCUCAAAUGUCUACCUCCAGUGCUAAAAGCAGACUCUGAAGCAAUUGUUGAUACAGGAAUGGCCAAAAAGUCCCUUGCAAUCUUUGCAAGUAUAGGAUAUUUGCCUUGAUUAUUCUUCCACCAUGAUAAAAUGUCAAAUUGACUAGUUGAAGGCAAAGUACACUCCUCAAGAUAAAACUCUAAUUCUGAUUUGGAAUGAGUAUUUUGCGUGUUUUCAUUUCUAAAUAAUGCCCACUCAUCAGCCAUUUCAUCCAAAUCUAAAUCUAACAUAUUAGAGUCCUCUCCUCCAGCAGCUUGAGAAUUGGCACCAUUAACCCCCCCACUUGAAUUUGAUAGAUGAUUUACUUCAUACUCAUGUACUAAAUCAACAAAUAACUUACGCACUCUUUCAAUUUCAGAUUCAGCUCUUUCCCCAUAUAUUUUAGGAAAUAAAAAGUUAAUCAAUAACAUUUUACGCCUAGGAUCUAACAUAGUCCCCACUGCAAGAACUCCAUGAAUAACAUCCCAAUACUUUUCAUACUUUGCAAUCAUCCUAGUAGCCAUAUUUUUUAUCCCCUCAAUUGGUGAUUGCAACCAUGCAUUCAUUGACAAUCUAAUUUCACAAAUCUUGGCAAAAAAUAAAUUAGAUGUCGGAUAUUGUGUCCCCGAAAAAAGUUCUGUCAACUUAUAAAAGCUUUUUAAAUACUCACACAUAAGCUUUGACAAAUUCCACUCUGACUCACUAGGUAAAGAUGUAUAAUUUCUCUCACGUUCCUUUAAACGAUCAAAUACAUUUUUAUACAGCAAUGCAGUACUAAGCAUCAAGUAAGUAGAGUUCCAUCUAGUUUUACAAUCAAGUACUAAGUUUUUGGUUUCCUUAAUACCUAAUUGUUUUUUUGCAUUCUCAAAUUUUUCAACUCUAGCUGGUGUUGCUGUCCAAUAAUGAACACUAUCUCUAAUUUUCUCAACUCCCUUUUGUAUCACUGACAAACCAUCUCUAACUAUCAAGUUCAAUAUAUGAGCACAACAACGCAUGUGAAAGAAUUUGCCACCCAUAAUCAUUGAACUAGUAGAAAAUUUCCCCAACAACAAGGCAAUCAUAGAAUCAUUUGCAGCACAGUUAUCAGCAGUUACAGAGGACAAUUUUCUAUCUAUAUUCCAAUCCAUCAAACAAUCAUAUAACUCAUUACACAUUACCUCAGCACUAUGUGGAGCUGGCACAUAUAUAAACCUAAUAAUGUGAAAAAAUAAUUAAAAUAUUAGACAGGACAUUAAUUUAUGCUUAAACCAGAAAAAAAAGUUUCAAGAAUAUUACCUCAUAAUACGACUUCGCAACACCCAUGAACUAUCAAUGUAAUGUGCCGUAAUAACCAUGUAUCCUUUUUUUUGGUUACUAGCAGUCCACAUAUCAGUAGUAAUUGCGAUUCUACUCUCACAAGCUUCCAAAAUACCCAUUGUCUUUUUCUUUUCAACAUCAUAAAGCCUCAAAAUUUCAGCUUUGAUGGUGUUUCUACUAAUAGUCUCAAUAGAAGGUUGGAGUAGCUUCAACAAGUCAUAAAACCCAACAUACUCAACAAAUGCCAAUGGGAGCUCAUGUAAUACAAUCAUUCUAGCUAUAAAAAGCUUUACUGUAGCCAUAUCCCAUUUUGACUCAGAACUAAAAUUACUAAGUGAAGUGCUUCCAUCAACUUUAGAAGAAAAGGAUAGGUGCAUUUGCUGUACAUUCUUAAAUGACCUUCUAGGACAACGUUUAGCAUGGUUUAUUAAGUGAUUAGUACCCCUCGAAUAAUGUCCUUGCAUAACUAACCCACAGUAAUUGCAAAUUGCCUGAACUUCCUCACCCAACUUAACUUUUUUGAAAUGAUUCCAAGCAUCAGAGACUACUCUACCACCACUAUCUCGUUUUUGUGAAGUGACAGAAUUAGUAUUACCCCUACGGCCACGGCUACGGCCACGACUAUUCCCCUGAACUGCUGCUGUUGAAUUUGGUUCUAAUUCAACAGCUGUAUCGUUAUUAUUUUCUAAUUCUGUCCUAACUCUCACACAAACACUUUCAUCACUUUUUUCAGAGGCGUCCAAGUCGAUUCUUUGUUCAUUUUCCAUAUCAAAUUUUCACUCUACAAAAAUUAUGUCAAGAUAUAAUUAAUUCCAGCAACUUCUUCCAAUUUAUAUGCUAUGUUUAACCGUAAAAGCUAUAAAUAAUAUUUUAGAGAUACCAUUUCUAUUCUAUUAACAGCAACAAUAAAAAUAAUUCAAAAAAUAAACUAUAAAUAAUAAAAUUGAAGCAUAACAAAGUAUAGAUACUAAAAAUCACAGAGUUUAGCUAUUAAAGUCACAAAGUAUAGAUAUUAAAAUUACAAAGAGAGCAAAACAGAACACAGAACACAGAGCACAGAACACAGAACAUAUUUGAUUUGAAAACUCAAUGUUAAUGGGUCUUUUAAGCAAAGGUAUGUUAUCAAGUUUUUAUGCAACCUUAGAGAUAGCUAGUAUAUUUAAUCUAUCUCUACAGAAUUCUGAUACAGAUUAGUAUGAUUUACUGUGUUAACCGAUAUUAGACUUCUUUUGCAGACUCAAAAAAGUGCCUGCGACAAAUUUGCAGAUAUCCUAAACAAUUCUUACUGCAUUGGCAGAUUAUUCUAAAUUUCUAAUCGAGGAAAAGGAUCAGGAGUGUACAAUACUAACUGGAAAGAGUCAUUACUCUUCAAGCAACUCAGUAUACACAAGUAGUAAAAGCACAGGACAAGGUCGAACCCAAUUUCAGUGAGAGAAAGCAGAAGCAAGCCAAACAGAGUAUUAAUGCUAGUCAGGCUCAGAACUACCAUUCAUGCAGCUAGCCAUAGGCAGCAGCCCUUUGGCUAAUUAUACUUCAAAUUCAAUUCUAAGCUUACUCACUAACCAACUCUUAAUGCACAAAACCAACAAUACGCGGCAGAAGAAAAAUGGCAACUGUUCUGUUUUAGACAACAAUUUCUCCUUGUGCCAGAAAAACAAAGAACAAAAAGAGGCAAAUAAUUCAGAAAAACAAAAAGCUUAUAAUUAGUCAAGUGCUCUCAUAUGUCAUAUACAAAGAAAACAAUGUAUGAGGAAAAAUCAAAUUGUGCCAGCAGCAAUACAAGCUCAAAGCAUAACAGCACAAAAAUUGCAAAGAGGGAAAAUCAAAGUGUAAUAGAGCAUAAAUUGUAAAGAGAAAAGCCGAGACUCACAAAUAUUCACAGCGGCAACUGAAGUAUAUGCUGAUGAACACAGAACACAGCAGCGAGACUGAGGUGGAUUUCAACCCCUUUUGCUGGCCGCGACAGAGUGAGAGAUCAGACGAGUGAUGAAACGAACAAAGCCUCGCCGUGAAGGUGAUGACAAGCCACGACGCGAAGGAUCUGAUCUGAUCUGAAGAAGAGAUUACAGGAGAGUUGCAGAGAGAGUGAGAGAGAUUAAGUGACGAUGGAGGACUGAGAUGAGCAAUGAGUCACGGCUCACGGGUGAGAGAGAUUGAGAGAGGAACGGAUUACGGUUUACGGAUGAGACUUGAGAGAUUGAAAGGAGAAAUUACAGAUUUACAGUAAUUUUUUUUAGGUUGAAGGAGAAAUUUCGAGAGAGGAUUAGAGGAACGAGACGAGAGAGAUCUAGAUUCUAGGGUUCACUUUUGUUUUCGUUUUUUUUUUUUCUAUUUAUAAUUACGGAUUUACGGAUCAAAAUUAAUAUUAAAAUAAAUAAUAUCCGGGUCCGGGUUCCGGAUUUGCGGGUUCACCUGAAACCGGAUCCGGACCGGAAAAAUGCGGGUUGUCAAAAACUGAUCCGGAUUCCGGAUAAAAACUAUGCCGGUGCGGGUUGAACCCGGACCGGAUUUUCCGGGUUCAAUCCGGGUCCGAUCCGGGUCCGGGUUUGAUUGCCACCCCUAUGCACAAUUUAAGGGGUUUGUGACAUGGGUUUAAACAUGAUUUAACAAGUGCCACCUGUGAAUUGUCAGAGAUUGUAUUUUCAUACACAUGUCAAAUUUUCAAGUCCAACAAAUUGUUAUCUUUCUAAAGAGGCUAAUAUUAUUAUUAUCUAUGCAUAGCAUGCUAGAAACAAUUCAUAUUACUAGGGCCUUUGUUUUCUGUAAACAACAUAUGGACAGAGGAACAAAUCCCUGAGCUAAAAUCAUCAUAUUCCAAAAUAUUCUAUUAAAUCAACACCACAAAACGCGAACGCUAAACAGAAUUGGAGCAAUUUACCAAAGCUAUUUGUCACGCAAAGCACUAGUACCUCAGAACCCAAUUUGCAAAACAGCACCAAAAAUGAAAAAUAACAAAUGCCCAGAUGAAAUAUCAGGAAAAAAAAGGCUCAAAUCCAAAUUACAACCCCAUAAGCUGAAUCGUUCUCUUCGAACUGAAUUAAAAAAAAUUAAAAAAAUUAAAUAGGGAGAUUGACCUCAAACUUUGGAAACAGGAGCGACAGCGAUCUGUUUCUUGUCUGGAGUGUCCAUUUCUAUAAUCUACAUUGUCCAUUUUCAGUCGCUCUGCCACAGAGCUUCUUCCCUCUGAAGCUGAAGCUCACACACACUUGCAAAACGAAAGCAUUUUUAGUGAUUGAGAGGCGGGAAGGCGGGAAAAUGAGAGAAAUUUACAUUUGUUUUCUCUUGGUUUGGUCAUACCUGUGCGGGCCCCAGCUUGACAAGCGGUAUUAUUACUAUUUGUAUAAUUUAAAUGACGCGUGUCAGGCAAUGACGAUAAAAAAUAUAUACAUAUAUUGUUAAUUUUUCACUUAACAUUAAAAUAUCAUAUAAUUUUUCCAAUUUUAUGGUUAUUUUCUCGCCCUUAUGCCACAUUCUUUUGAUCAAAUAAUACAGUAAAACUUUUCUAUAAUCAUAAUAUUAGAGCCAAAUUAAAUUUGUUUCUGUAAAGAGGCUAUAGCUUAAUAAAGGUAAAAUUAUAAAAAUUAUUAUUUUGACUCAGUUAUCUUUAGUGCAAGUGAUAUAAAGUACAGAUAUAUGAUAAUUAAUUAAUGAACUAUGUCAAAUACAAUAUGCUGACAAUGAUAAAAAAGAUAGACAUAAUUUCAAGAAACUAAUACAUAUAUUUAUGUAGUGCUGGGAUUAUACAAAAUUAUCUUAAAAGUGUAAAGAUUAAAGUACUAUUAUGAUUAAUUUAAAAAAAUUAUUUUAUCUUAAUCUUUAAUGCAACAUAGUUUUUUUUUUUCUUAGCAACAAAGCAUUGUUCCAAAUAAUUAUUAUUGGAUUCAAAUCAUGUCCUAGGCAUUUUUUCUUCUGGUCGUCUUAAACUUUUAAUGAUUUAUUGGCAUGUGUCAUUAAUGAAAUUAAAUAACUAAGACUUUGUUUUAAUUAACGUUUACAUAAAUAGACAUCAAAACUCACGUGUGAUUCUUAUCAAUUUUUUUCCUGCAAUUUUUUUCCUCUCAACUAUUCAUAUUUUGACAUUAAUUUCCAGCAAAUUAUUAAAAAAGAAGAAGCGUAAAAUGGAGAAAAGUGAUUGACAACAAGGUUUGCAUCUUAAUUUCAAAAUUUUCCUUUCUUUGCUAUUUUUGUGGGUUCUACAAUUGUUGUUUUCACUCUCAGCUGCAGUUCAAUGAACUCUAUUAAUAACCAUGAAGCUUAAUGUAUCAAUUCCAGUACGACAAGUCCUUCUACGCAUGUUACAACACUUUUUUGUCAUUAUAGGUUGCAAAUGUUCCGUAAUGUACUCAUUCAUAUAACGGAAACGCUAUUAUCAAUAAUGAAAGUUGACUAAGUUUGUAAAUUCUAUUUAACGAAAAAGUAUCAUAAAUUUAGUUGAACAAGAGGUAAUUAAUAUGUAAUCUAUGAAACUAGGGUGUGACUAAGUUACAUAGUAAUGUAACUUACAUGAACACAAAAAUAAUUAGUUUUUAAACUACAAGUAGCUUUGAAACAGCUCUUAAAUUGAUAUAAGUUCUAUUAUUAUGUAACUUAGCAAGGUCAGAUAUUUUAAUAAUAGCUUACUCUACCGUGCCAAUGUCAUUAGUAUUAAUCUGUUGAACCUAAGACCAGAUCUAAGCUGAUCUAGAUUCCCCAAGAUCGCACACCACACAGUGAUUAAUGAAUCAAGAACAAUAAACCAUCAAAGAAUCGCAAACUUACAUGUCGGGUUACAUGUAAUAAAUGUUUUAAUUAUUAGAUGAUUCAUAAUGUUAGACCAUUUUUUGUAUGUUUUGUAAUCUACGUUUGAUAAUUUAAUUAGCUGAUAAACACUUGAAUAAUAUUAUUUUAUUAACUAUGUCAUUGAUCCCCAGGAAAAAAAAAAAAACCAAUUUGGGAUGUUAUACAUUGCUUUUUCAUUAAUUCCCAUUUUAUAUUAAUAUUUAUCACAUAUAUUCUUAGUAACUUGUAACCCUUUUUGCUAAGGGUGAAAUGUGUUUGUUACCCCUUCUAUUUCUGAGAUUGUCCUUACAAUAAGGAUGCCGGCCCCAAUGUCAAAAACUGCUAUCUCUGGGUGUAAAUUCCUUAUAAAAUUCUUUUUUAAUUGAAAUUACUUAAAUAAUUGAAGAUAAAUUAAUUUUUUAUUUCAUUCAAAUAAAAAAAAUCAAUUAAACACUUAAAUAAGCUAUCCUUUUAAUUUUUUUUUUACACCCCUCCAGUUUCAUAAUUUAUAUUUAUAAUUUAAAUUUUAAUGGAAAAUAUUUUUUUGAAAAAUUUUAAGAAUUAAGAAUUAUGGGGAUAAAAAUUAUGUAAUAAGAACAAAAUAAUUUAAAAUUUUAAAAUUUGCAUGCAUUAUAAACAAAAACUUGAAAGAAAUACUCUUUUCAGGGUGAAAUUUAAUGAGAAAAAGAUUAAUUUUAAUUUAUGAAUUAGUAUUUUAUAAGUUAAACUGAGGUAUUUCAAGAAAUAGAAUUCAAAAGGCAUGGGAACGAGGGCCUUGGGUUUCAUUUUGUUUUGUAGGAAUUGGGAAAAAUACACGGACAGACAAAGGGAGCAGUCAUUAUAAUGCUGUGAAGCUGGUCGGAGAUACCCUGCCCAUUUGUAGCUUAGACUCCUGGGGUUUUGUUCAUGUCUUUUAUGUAUCCCACUUUUUCAUGCAGCAGAUGUACAUAUGAUGAGAUGAAAACAACAGCAAAAAUUGCUGUCUCAUAAGAGAAAUAGUCAUACAUAGUUGGUUAGGCCUCCUGUCCAUUAACUUAAUAAUGAAUUUUAUGAAAAUUGAUUAUCUCAUUGGAAUUACAUAGAUAUUGGAAAACAUUACUCCAGCCCCACCAUCCCAACCAUUUACUUAGUUCAUCAGUAAAAGCUGGAUUUUCCAUUUGUUCUUGAGAUUCAAAUUAAGGCAACAAGUUGCUCAUUCUAUAUUAUCUAUGUAAUCCUGUAAAAGUGAAGGGCGUUUAGAUGUGGAAAAACCUUACUCCUGCCGCAACACCUCAAACAGAUUGUGAUCAGACAAGACUUAGUUCAUCAUUAGCGGUAGUUGGAGCUUCCAUUUGUUCUAGAGAUUCAAAGGCAGCAAGCUGCUUCCUCAGUGCUACUAAUUCUUCCCCGGCAUUGCAUAUGUAGCCUGAGGCUCGUCUGCCAGACAAAGUUGCUCCUUCCAUACUAUCUAUGUAAUCCUGUGAGAGUGAAACCAUUUAGAAGACAUCUCUUUUUUUUUUUCAAUAUUUGGAAUGAAACAAUUAUAUACAGUUACCUGUUUUGUAUAUGAGCUGGCGAGGAAGAAGUUCUUCAUUGGUAUCUUUUGAUCAGGUCUGAAGGGGUCUUUACCAGGUCCCUCACCUCACAAAGAUUGCCGGAUUUUGACGACAGAUAACCAAAUAACUUCUAAACCUUGGGAUGAUGGAAUUAGAGCUAAAACCUAAUAAAAGGAACCGUGAAUGGAUAGUAUGGAUUCAUGUAUAUUAUCCAGAAAGUUGCAUGACCGUUUGUGGUACUCAGGUCACUAAAAAACGUGAGAUAAACAUCUAGGAUAAGAAAAGCAAAAAAGCGUAACCUAAUAUGUAUUAUAUGAAUUGAAGGUGUCACUGAACACUACUAACCUGCUUUGCCACUCUCCUUAUGAUUUCAUCAUUUGGUAAGGGCAUAUAAGGAUCUCCAGGCGUCAAAACGCAUCUGAAAGAUAAUAUGGUUAUAGGAAGCAAGAUGGAAUACAAAGACACUUGGCAAAAGGAAGUCAAUCAGAUUCCAUGCACAAAAAAUAACUAAAAAUGACGAGGAUAAGAAAUGUUUCUUACUGGAGAAAUGAACCUUGCCCUUCUCUGUAGUAGUAUUCUGGUGAAGUGAGUGCUAGAUCUGCAAAGCAAGAGAAAUCUGCAUCUGGAGUAUAUAAAAGGUUAUCUAACCCCACAGCUUGCCUCAAUUGCCUACAUGUUCAAUACAAGGAUCCGUUAAAAAAUGGAAAUUUCUUCAAUGCAUUAGUAAAGGGGAGUGAAGUGAAAGCUGAUUUCUUAGGCCUUCACAGAGCAUCUUGUGUUUGACAGCAAGCAUUAAAGAAUAAACUCAAAGUCAAUGCUUCUAACAGAUGAUAUAAACAACAAAUUUACAAAUAUCAGGUCAUUGCAUUAGCUCCAUGCCUCCGUCAGAGCGAACAUUAAUAGAUGCGUAAAAAAUAAAUAAGAGCGAUAUGUGAAACAAUUUACCUUAGACAUGGCAAGUCCUUUGACAAAUGUUUCCCCGUUAGCAGAUUUAUCAUAAUGCAUCUCUCUGCAUCCCCACCUAAGAUGGAACCUGUUCUCACAAGAACAGAUUCCAAGGUUGGGAAAAUCAAUUGAUCAUCGGAGAAAACAAACAGGAUUAACAAAUCACUACAAUGGUGUGAACCUGUAAAUACAAACGUACCUGCCCCCUUUAUCUGUGAUAUAUUUUCUUAUUGGCCCACUCAAAUAAACAUCCGGAGAACCCUUGAGCAUCUGCAAUAGGGAAGCCUCGGUCUUAGUUGCAAACAGUGCAAAUAUAGUAUGCAUACAACGAGCAAUGAUGUUAUCACAAUCAAUAAACCCAAGGGCAAACGCAACAGGAUCUUACAUUCUUUGGAUACUCAUCCAUGUACCACCCUUGGACAAAAACCAAUCAGAGAAGCUUAUCUGUAAGAAGAAAUGAAGUUUGAGGUAAAAUAAAAAUUUGUAGGAACAGGGAUUGAAAUUCAACAAACAAGAAAAUAUGUUGUUUGUUGAAAUUCAACAAACAACAAACAAGGCUCCAUCAGGAUCAAGAAGUGCCUUUACAACAGGACUCAGCGCAAGAGCAAUAGCAUUUCUUGAUUUAUCAUAAGUCUGCACUUGAGCAAUAUACGAGGCAAAGUACAUCAAAAGAGAAUCCAAAAGAGGCAAGAAGCUUCAACAUGAAAAAAGGAGUACUGCCUCGUCAUACUGCUUUGCAAUCACAGUGCAAAAGAUAACAUCAACAAAAUCAAAAUCGAGCAUAAAUCCGUAUGCACUACCUUAAGCUGAUUUGUAGACAAAAAUGCACGAAUCCCAUGUAAUGGAGCUCCAAUCGGAAACCGGAAAUCAAGUUCUGGAGUUGAAAAUCAAAAUCAUGAAUCAAAUCAGAGUUAUUAUUGAAUUAGACAAUCCAUAAACCAAUAGAAGGUGAUGUCAAACCAUCAAGCAUAACUAUUAGUUGUUUUAAGUGAUCAAGAAAUAACUGUACCACCAAUUUCACCACCCUUAUUUACAAAUUUAUGAGUAUGAUCCUUCAUGAGUAAAUUUUCGUCCGCACCGACCUGUCGACAUCCAUGAAAAACUAUCAGAUCAUAAACACAUGUUCCAGUUAAAGAGGAUCUAUGAUUCUGAUCCAUCAUGUUAUUUGAACAACAUUUUCGGAUUUUCUUACAACCCUAAGCUAUUAUCAGUUAUCAUCGCUACAAAUGAUAUGGUCAAGAGGAAUGAUAGUUCUUGUUUCAAGAAUCUCAAAUCGUAAUUCUUUUGCAUGGCUUCUGUGCUUUUAUAAUCAUUCAAACACGCAUAUCCACAACUAAGCAAGCUUUACCUUUUUUGUCAAUCGGAACAGAUUAUUGCAGCAUCCAAAGAAAAUGUGCAGGCUGAUUUCAAUAUGGUUUCCAUGUUUACCGACAAAUGAAGCCACUUUACCACCAAUAAAAGACCUCAACUCAUAUAUAUCCACCUGGAAGAAAGGAAAAUUUAAAAAAAAGGAACUUCUAAUUUCUUUCACCAUCAACAAAAUCAGAAAAACACAUACUAAUUCAAAAUGAAAUAAAGUUUGUGAAUUGAAAUAAUGCCAACUCCUAAGAAAAAUUAUGACUGCUGAUAUUUUUUCCGAAAUGCUGAUAAAAGCUUCUGCUAUUUACUUUGAAAAAAUUGAGGUUAGAAGCCUAUUUACUUGAAAUUUUGAGUUUAGGCAAGAGGAUGAAUGGUAAAAGUGAAACAUUUUAGGGAAAAAUGUACGUCAGUGGCCAAUGAAAGCAUUAAGAAGAUUGAAAUCUAAAUGAGCAAAACCUCAUGGCCUUGAUCCAACAAUUCCACUGCUGUUGACAUGCCUGCAAGCCCAGCUCCAAUAAUAGCCACUUUCAGCUUUGGUCCUCUAUAAUGUUCCGGUUCUGGUGGAAACAAUUAAACAAACCCUUGGGAGCUGCCAAGUAUACCAUCCAAUUAUCCACAGCGAUAAUGGAAAUAUAUAUGUGUUUGAAAGUACUAAAUUCCUAAACAUGACAUGUAUCCAAAAAGUGACGCAAAGCAGAAUUGCGGAAGCAUUUCAAUUCCCAAUAAAUUUCAAGAAUACAAAAUACUCGGUCUGUUCUUUCAAUUCCUUCAAUAAAAUUUCCACUAGAGGCUACGCAAGCCACUCAAUAACACUCCAAAGCCAGAUUUUAAACGUUAUCUUUAUCUUUAACUCCAAUCCAUAAACAAUUCUGCCACAAAUUCAAUCCAAAAUUGUUCAAGUGCACCGCCAAUUCUCCAUCAAUUCCCUCAAAAAUUCAUAAUUGGCAAACACUACAAACCCAAAAGAGCUUCCAGCAAUAAACGCAUAAAAAUCCACCAAGCAACAUAAAACAAAAUACCCAGAAACCAGAAAAGCCAAAAGAUCAAUGCUUGGCAAACAAGCAAAUCAAAUAAAACAAAAAGAAGUGGAAUUUACCCUUAACGCUCAUAUCAGAAACAUUAGUGUCCAAAGAAGCCCGUACACGGAAUCUUGGACCCUUCACUUGAACCCGAGACCAUCUAACGCCAGUAACUGAAGUUGCAGGAAACAGAACUGAAGAACCCAUAUUGCAAAUCCUGAGCUGAAAUCAAAGAAAUUCAAUUGGAACUCAAUUCAGCUCAACCGAGCGGAGCUCUCUUUUGCUUCAAUAACAAAGUGUUUUUCUUUCAUAUCAACAAAGAUUUGUCAACAUCAACAAAAUUUAACUAAGAAUCUAACAAGAUGCUAAGGAAGAGAGUUUUGUCAGGGAACUGUUUCGGUGUGGUUGGCCAAGUGCUUCUUUGUUUGUUUUUUUUUUUUUCUUUUUUUGCCCUUUUCAUUAAUACACAACAGUAGUACUCGUGAAGAGCACAAAAUGUUGGUGACUUUGUCACUAACGAUACCAAAGUGGAGUGACCAGAGCAACCAACUAAAUUUUAAAGAGAGGGAAUGAUAAGUAAUAUUUUCUUUGGGUGAUUAAUUAAUUUAUUAUCAAAUAAUUUUAUUUAUUUAUUUAAACGACAUCCUUAUCUUUGUACAAGGCAGCUGAAAGAUGACGAUGUUGUGUUGUCACAUAUUUUUGGGCCGACCGUUUCUUGUUUCGGCUUAAAUGAGGCUUUUGUAAUUUUGUACUAAAAAGUGGCAUUGGCUGGAUGGCCAAACUGCAGAGUUCAAGUCUACAAUAGAGAAUCGAAAUUUACCUUUGUAAAUGUUCAUAAGUAUUUACCACAGAUUUUUAAGUUAUUCUUGAUAGAUCCCCUACCACAUACGCUAUAAUAUUUCUCUCCUUUUAAUUUAAAAGUAAAUCAUGCAUAAUAACGGGUUUGUAAAGAAAUGAAAUUUCUGUUAAUUAACUGUCAAAAAAAAAAAGAUGGAUUAAGCUAAAGAAGUUAUUAUAGAGUAAGUCGAGUACUUGACAAUCAAAGUAAUUUUACUCGAGGUUGAGUAAGGAUAGUACGAUACUUUCUCAAGUUUUCUGAGGACAUUCAUGUGACAUUGGACUAUUGACUAUAGUUAGAGAGAAGUCCAAGGAUGUAAGUGAUGAUGAUAGAUUCACAAUUCUUUUGAAGAAAAUAUUUUAUAUAAACUUAAUUAUAUGGUAUAAAAUGAUUGGCCUCAAUAAAUUAAAAAAUAAUACACGCCUGGAUCAUGCAAUAUUUUCAACCAAAUAAUUUACACGCAAAAUUAAACUUUAUGAGUACAUUUAUUUGCUAGCAGAAACUCUGCCAAAUUUUCCGAAAUGUGAAAGUGAACACUUUUAACAACGGCACAAAAUGCAUGUGAUAAGUUUUUGUUAGAAUUUGUUUUCUUCUUUGUUUUGAUUUACGCGACAGAUAGUUGUAAAGCGUAAAAUUUUAAAAUCCGCAACAAAACAAAAACUUACAUGGGUUGGCCGCACCUUUCGUGCCUGCUUUCGUCUAAUAGUAUUUGAUACGUACAUCAAUAUAAUAUCAUGGACAUUGAAUUUCAAAUUAACAGUUGGUUUUAUAAUAAAAAUCUUUAUGUUAUAUUACGUACAUCAAUAUAAUAUAAAUUUGUUAUAUAUAUUUUUUUUUCUGUAACCAAUGCUUUCAAAAACUUUAUAUUUGUAUGUUUGAACAAUUUUUUUUUGCAUUCUAUUUAUAUACGGUAUCAUUUAUGUUUACAUAAAUUUUCAUAUCUACCCAAAUUAAGUAUUAAAUACACAGACACUUUGUUAAGACUCGUGUAAUAAUUAAUCUUAAUAAUUUCUUAUACAAAUACAAUCCUUUAUCUAAGACCAGCAACGUCACUCAUCAUAAUUUUUCACCAAAUAUUGUAAAGUUGUUGUAGUAGUAUAGUUAUCAUGGACAUUGAAUUUCUAGUAUCAGACAAUGAUAUUAUAUUGAAUGUAGUGCUUCAAUGAAUUUUAUUACUAUAUACUAAAAUACUCAACGAUCUUCAUUAAAAAAAAAAAAAAUUGCAUGAUUAGAAUGAUUAAAGUUCAUUUAAUGACGAGUUUCAUCAUUGACUGUGUCGAAACACAACAGCAAUCCACAAUACACUUAACACGACAAUCAUGCAUGAAUCUUCCACCAUUAAACCUGAAAUCAUAAAAUGAAAGAAACAAGAUGAGGGUUGUUUUACCGUCUAAAAGCCGAUUCGAAAUACUAAUAAUAAUAAUAAUAAUAGACCUUUGUUAAUAGUUACUACUAGUGGUCACUGCCUUGUCCAUCUUCCUUCUCUGUAUCAUCGUCCUCUUCCAAGCCGCUGUCAUCUGACCAAACCCCAGCAACCAUCCUGGGAAAACUCGCCUCCUUGUUUUAGGAGCAGGAGCAGGAGCAGGAGGAGGAAAUUAAGUUAGGGAUUUGGAGUGAGAGUGAAGGUGGAGAAAAAGCAAGAGAGCGAAAAAGCUGAUUGUUGAGAAAUAUAUACCUUUCGUAUGGUUGUGUUAAGGUCGUCCUUCCAAUCCCAACAUGCUUCACCCAGCCGCUGCACUUUGUGUAAUUUGGGUGUACUUAAUUUUCCUGCAGAGAAAAUCUUCAUAUCGGGGCAAUCAUCCACCACUAAUCUUUCCAAAGAUAGGAAAUUGAAAGCACAAUUGCCAGAGCAGAAGCUUGUCAGACUUUUUAAGUGUAAAAGCUUCAACUCUUUCAAUUCUCUGAAAGUAAUAACCUCAUCUUUUGCUACAACAUCAUCCACCAGUACUAUUUCUGUUAAACCUGAAAUCAUAAAAUGAAAGAAACAAGAUGAGGGUUGUUUUACCGUCUAAAAGCCGAUUCGAAAUACUAAUAAUAAUAAUAAUAAUAGACCUUUGUUAAUAGUUACUACUAGUGGUCACUGCCUUGUCCAUCUUCCUUCUCUGUAUCAUCGUCCUCUUCCAAGCCGCUGUCAUCUGACCAAAAACUCGCCUACUUCUUUUAGGAGCAGGAGCAGGAGGAGGAAAUUGAGUUAGGGAUUUGGAGUGAGAGUGAAAGUGGAGAAAAAACAAGAGAGGAAAAAAGCUAAUUGUUGAGAAAUAUAUACCUUUCGUAUGGUUGUGUUAAGGUCGUCCUUCCAAUCCCAACAUGCUUCACCCCGCCGCUGCACUUUGUGUAAUUUGGGUGUACUUAAUUUUCCUUCAGAGAAAAUCUUCAUAUUGGGGCAAUUAUCCACCACUAAUCUUUCCAAAAAUGGGAACUUGAAAGCACAAUUGCCAGAGCAGAAGCUUGUCAGGUUUUUUAAGUGUAAAAGCUUCAACUCCUUCAAUUCUCUGAAAGUAAUAACCUCCUCUUGUGCUACAACAUCAUCCACCAGUACUAUUUCUGUUAUCUCAUCGCAUGAUUCUAUCUCCAUAUAUCUAAGUCGCACC